GGAAGGGAAAGGAGGGAGUGCUGUGCCUGUCCCUCUCCUUGACUCCUGGACACCUGCCCAGGGACACCUACAGCCCCAGCUCUCUGGGCUGCAAAGCGGUCUCAGGUGAAGACCCCUGUCACUUGGGCCUCCUUGUAGGCAACACUAGAGCCACUUGAAUGUGAGGGACACAGCCAUGAGUCUUAGGGUCUAAGUGGCCUUAGCCUGCUGGUGGCAUGGGUGGGAGUCAAGCCGUGGGAUGGGGCUGGGCACAGAAGAACACCACGAGGGCCAAGGAUUGUUGUUCAUUUAUUUUGUUAAACAAAUGUCAAGGUCAAGAUGUGCCAAGGCUUGGAAUUUGUCUUAAUUUCCCUAGAAGGGACCAGGGGUUUGAAGGGUCACUCUUUUUAUUCAACUCCCUGGGUGGAGUGGGACAGGAGGGUGGUGGGACUCUCAGGGGAACUUCCCAUAAAGUAUGUGGUGAGGACCCAUGGACCGGGGAGCCUGGAGGGCCAGCCAGGCUGACAUGACACAUGCUGGGGUCCCUCCUGCUGGGGUCUCUGCCUUGCCUGCAUGACCCUGACUUGUGGCUAAGGACAGCUUGGGCCUUCACACCUUCCAGGGUCUUCUGAGAGGUCCCCCACUCCUCAUCUCCUUAUGCCAUUGAGUGGAAGGGCAGUGCCCUUGACCCAACAGUGUUCCUGAGGCUUCAGCCCUGCCCCUCCACACUUGACUGGCAGCUCCAGGGGGCAGCUGGAUCACUCUGCCCAGAAUAACCCUGGGCGGGGGGAGGCAGUCAUGUGUGCCCCUCCUCUGCAAGCUGCCCAAAUCGCGCAGCCAAUCAGCUGCUCCUGAGCCUGCGCUUGCCUUUCAAGGCAAGCGGGCAGCGACGGCCCUGUGAGCAGCAGGUCUGCAUGACUUUCCUUUUGACCUUUUCCUCCCAGGCCUCAGUUUCCCCUGUUCAAUGGGGAAAUGGGCAUUGAUCUUCUCCUUUGUAUCUGUAGCUCUGGGACUCCUGAGAGGUGGUUUAUGGUGUCCCCUGGGGAACAGUGCAGGUGUGGGAGGGGCUGUCUGAACAGAUGGGGCUCAGGGACCCCAGCCCCUGCCUCGAUUCUACCAGCUACUCCAAUAAAUUGGGGUCCUCAGACUAUUUCAUUUGAACAGUGCCCUGGGCUGUGGCUGAGAGCACAGACAGCUGUUUCUGGUAGCAUCUGUCUCGACUUCACAGCUGUUCUGUCUCUGGUGGGCUCCCUGCUUGGCCUGUGUCCUCCUGGCCAUGUGGAUGUACCUGAGUGGUAGGAGGCUUGGGGUGUGGCACUUCUCAGAAUUGGAAAGUGGUGAUUUCAAUGCACAGAGGAGGCCCAGGCCCUUGGGACGGACAGUGGAAUUAGAGCCAGUGCGGAGGCAGAGGCUGGAUGACCCUGCAGAGCCUCAGUUUCCUCAUUUACAAGAUGCAGGAGCACCUCCUUCCCACCUCAUGUUCUUAUCAUUAGGAUUCAUGACUGCUGCUUUUAGAACACCCACUGCAGUGUGAGGCCACGAUUCAGAGCAUUUCACGCAUGGCGGGGCGGGCGUGGGCUUUGAUUCUCCCAUUAGCUCCCGAGGGAAGGAGGCCCAGCUUUGAAAGUGGGUAAUUGGGAGUCCAGAGGGUGGCCUAACUGCUCAGCCUGUGGACCCAGGCCACUGGACACCCCUAUCCGUACUGGGGACAGUGGCCAACCUGUGCUGGUGAGGGAUGGGAUACGGACUUGCAGAAAACAGGUUUGCUCCUUAUGGUGGGGAAUGGUCCUCAAUUCUGUAAAGUCAAGCUGAGGCUUAGAGGGCUUGGUGCUGCCCCCAGGCUCUAGAAAGGAGCUUCAGAGGCAGAGCUGGAGGUAGAGUUCAGAGCCAGGUCACUCCCCUGCCCCAGCAAAUGGCGCAGCCCUGGGCAGACACCCAGGGUGGGGUCAGCUGCUGCCAUUUGGGGACCUGGAGGGGGCCUCGUGACUGCAGAGGCUGCCUUCAUGCCAUGGAGCUGAUGCAGCAGCCUCGUGGCCUGACGGGCUGCCAGGUCGCAGAAGUGGGGGCCUCGGUGUCUGCCUCCAUCUCCCCAAAAGGCUUGUGCUCUCAUUCCCAACUCAUCUUGGCUUAUUUGGUAUCGGCAGAGGGGCAGGACAGCUGGCUGAGGACCUUCUAAUUAUAGCGGCUCAAGUAUUUGAACAGAGGUAUUGAGUACCUCGACCAUGUCCUGCUUUUUUGUACAAAUAACUCUUUAACCUUUCGUCUGAAGCACGGCCACACCCUGUUUAUUACCCAGGCAGCCCACCUCCUCCCUCCCAGGGCCCUGGCAGAGGCCAGCAUGGGACCUCUACCCCCAGUCUUACCUUGGCUGCGAGGGUCCAAGUGGAUCUCCUCUUGUCCCGCUGGCCUCGAAGCAAGCUUCUCUCUAAAAGGUUUUUGGAAAAAUGCAUCUUCUUAGCAUUGAAGGUCCAGUCUUCUGGACACACAUGCCUUUUCCACAGUAGCGGGCCAGCGGCACUUAGAGACCCAACUUUUCUCUCUAACGAAUACAGUCUGUGGCCUGGGCCUUGUGGGACCCUGAGCCAAUCUCUCAGGUCCUGAGCUCCCCCUUCUCUUCCUCCACCUUCUGGGCCCUGUCCCCUGGUGUCAGUCUGGGUUUGUUGUCCCUACUCUCAUCCUCCCCUGCACAUAGUAGGGCUGAUGGCAGCAAGCAAGGCCUGGGGCAAUGACUCAGGGAGGCAGGAGGGCCCUAUCCAUCACACCUGGUCAGCAAUCUCUCUUCUUCCUCUCAGGUGGCCUGGAGGUGAGAUGGCUGCUUUCUCCCCACAGCGAGCAAAUGCCUGGCCCAGGAUCGGAUCAAAAGCUGGGGCUCACUGCCCCCAGUGGGCAGUGAGUCAGCGGGUUCCUGAGGCAGCUCUGUCCUGUCCCAGCAUGGCCACCCUCCUGGCUGACCUUGGAGAAUCAGUAUUCCAGCAUCCACGGCCUGCUAGAAGCCCCCAUCUCCACCGUGUGCUGGGUCUGACUUCCCCUUACUGAGACCACGUCAUGUUCUCUUUGGGUCUGAUGGGCAGUGUCAGAGGGUCGUGUUUCCUUUUCUGUGGUGCCGGAUGAGAGGACUUUGAGAAGUCAGUGGCUUGUUCAAGUUCUGCUAGGACACGGGGACCCAGGGUUCCAACCCAGGCUUCCUCUGAAUGGAGUUGCUGGUGAAAUUCCUCACUUGUGUGCUGCCUCUUGGUGUACUGACUAGCUCAGAUGGCCGUGGGACAACAGGACGGUUGUGAGGAUCAAGCAGGAUAAUGUAUGCUAACCCAUGCUGUGAACGCUGCGUGCUGGGUGCAGAGAAUGAUGGAGGCCCCACUUUGGGUGUGAUGCCACUUUACCAACAGUGACCUUGGAGGUGACCUCUGUGGAAAAGUGCCACGGACCAGCCAAUGUGAGUUGUGGCUAGUGCUACUGUUUGGGGCUUGGGUGGUUGGUGGGUGGAUAUUUACUGAAUUAUUAAACCUGAAUGAUGUGUAAGUAAAGUCAAAGGUGACCAUGCACAGGACAGUGAUGAGACUGUCAUGAAUCUAGAGUGAUAAGUCCAAGUAGGCACAACUGUCACCAAAUUAAAAAGAAAAAAAACAUUAGGAUGUUCUCUGUGUAGGAAAUAGCAAAGAAAAAUGGAAUAUGUCUACUUAUAGAUAAAUAAUAUAUAUCAGAUAAUAUGUGAGAUGUAAGUGCUUUUUUUGUUUUGGGGUUAGAUGGUGGGUUCAUGUAUGUUUAUGGACUUAUUAAAAAUAAUGGUUACAUAAAUAAAAUCAGAGGGUCAAGGAUAGAGUAAUGAAGGUCAUAUUUAAUGACUUAUAAACCUUAAGUCAUCUAUAUAAUUCUCCAAAGUUGAGAGGCAUCAGCACAAUAAUGAAUGUUUUCAUUUACUUUAUUAGCAUUUUACUAUUUAUGCACUAUGGUUUAUAUAAACACUUCCUUAUUAGUGAAGUCUGGGAUAUUAUCUGUGAGAGAGGCUCAGUCAGGAAAAAGGUAUCAGUAGUCUUUUGUUUGUUGGGUGUGAUAAUAUGAGUGUUCUUUCAAGGAUUUUAAUUUUAAUUUUUUUAGUAUUGGGGAUUGAACCCAGAGGUGCUUAACCACUGAGCCCCAGCCCCAGCCCUUUUUUAUCUUUUAUUUAGAGACUAAUAAGCAACAUAGUUUGCUUAAUUUGAAAAUUAAGUUGCUUUUUAGUGCUUUGCUAAGUUCCUGAAGCUGGCUUUGAACUUGCAGUCCCCAUGCCUCAGCUUUCUGAGCUGCUGAGAUUAUAGGCAUAUGCCAUUGCACCUUGCUCUUUCAUAAUUUUUUUUCUUUUUUUGCAGUGCUGGAAAUUGAACCCAGGGUCUGAGUACUGCCUAGGUCAGCACUCUACCACUGAGUCAAAUCCCCAGCCCUCUUUCUUGAUUUUUAAGGGAUAAAUAAAUUUGAAAAGGGCUAAGCACAGACCAAGGCUUAUUAAUUCAACUCUAUACAAGUGAGUGCCACUAAAAACAAUCCAGGAUGUUUAGUUUUCUAAUAGCUGCUUCUUGUUGGACAGAAAGGACACAUACUAGUUUAAUCAUGCAUUAUUUAUGAGGGCUUUGACUCUUAUUUGGGUAGGUUAGGUUCGUAAAGAAAAUGUAAGUAAUAGUUGGUGUUUUGAAAUCUUUGGACAGUUGUUCAAAGGUAUUCAGAAAUAAGUAAAUGAAUGAGUGAAGAAAUCAAUGAAGACAUCAAGAGAGAAAGAAAAAUGGGAUAACGAUGAUCAAAUCUUACUUUAGUAAAUUUUCUGUUGUCUUGGUAUCUAGUUUGAACGUGAGUUUAACUUAGAUUAGAAACAGGGCUCAGUCACGGUUAUGGGUUGGAUAUGUGGUGUCCCCCAAAAGCUCACAUGUUAGACAAUGCAGGAAUGUUCAGAGGUGAAAAGAUUAGAUUAUGAGCACUGUAACUUCAUCAGUGGAAUUAACCCACCUAGGUGGAUUGAUUGUGUGGAUUAACUGUAGGCAGGUAGGGUGUAGCUGGAGGAGGUGGGUCACUGGGUGUGACUCUGGGGUAUAUAUUUUGUCCCUGGUGACUGGAGCUCUCUUUGUUUCCUGGUUGUCAUGUCCUGAGCUGCUCGCCUCUGCCUCAACAAUCUGUCAUGAUGUCCUGCCUCACCCUGGACCUGCGGCUAAGGAGUUGUCUGACUAUGGAGUGACCUUGAAAACUGUGAGCCAAAAUCAACUUUUCUACCUUUAAGUGCUCUUGUCAGGUCUUUCGGGUGAUGAAAAGCUGACUAAAACAUUCACCCUGACAGUUUCCCAUGUCCCACCUCCUUGCCAUUCCUCGGGGUCUUCCCUGUACAAGUACCUCCUGGCGGCACUGCCCACCUGACUCUCCCACUCACUGACACCCUGUGUAUAGACCAUGAGCACAUGGCGACUGCUCUCAACUGCCAGGUGAACUGUUGGCUCUCCAAGGCAGGCUGCCUUCUGGUAUUUCCUGUUCUGUAGAGUUGCUACCUGCGUGUUUCACCUGACUAAUGCCCGAAGCUUACUUUGGUCCAUGUCGGGGCUGUCCUGGAGAAUGGCUGACUUGGUAGGAAUAAACUGGGUACAGAACCGAGCCACAGAGCCUCUGCUAGCAUGAGGACACCUGGUCACUCCUCAGAGGCUUGGGCGUGGUGAUGUCUGCCAGGAGUAUUUAUUUGUUUUGUUUUUUGGAGAAGAUGACGUACAUGAACAAAUGUCUGGUAAAGGAGAACUCUAGGAAAGAGGAGCCCGUGGCCAAGGUGGAGAGAACCAAGCAGUGAGCCAAGGCAGGGUCAGGGAGCCCCGAAGUGCAUCCCAAGGGUGCCCCGACUCUGUGUGGGAAGGGACUCUGCAGCUAGGGUUAUGAACACCUAAGAGUCUGGCUCAUGGGUAUUGAUUACCUUAUUGUAUAAUCAAUCAAUGAGUAAAUCACUAAAAAUUGAAUAAAGUGAAUAAAGACCAAUGAUGAGUGCAUGUAGUGAAACAAGAACUGUUAUUAAUAUGCUUUUGAAGCACUUAAGUCCAUUAAACUAUGUACACAAACACACACACACAAACUGGUGGAUAGUGGCUCUUGUCUCUAAAAAGAGGAAUUUUACAUAGAUAGGAAAGUGGAAGAGCACCAGUGUUGAGAAUUGCAGGAUAAGAAUUUCUAUUAAUCCAGUGACAAUAUAAUUGAUUAUCUCUGUGGGUCGGGGACACAUUGGCAGAUGUUAGUUGUAUAUGGAAUUUUUGUCCUGUUUCUUUGGAUUCCCAGCUAUGAAUUAUAAAGGAAGGAGUGAAUAAGUUUAUGUCACGAUUAGUUAAGAGAAGCAGAUGAUGGGUCAGUCAGGAGAAUAAAUUAUGAAGCUCAUAUUAGGAUCCGGGCAUUCGCAUGCUGCUCCUGUCCCUGUAGAUGGCAUCAAGUUAGGCUUCUGUGUGUUUAAGGCUUCCGUGUAGAUUCAUGUGAAAGGACAGUGAUAGUGUCAGAUUUUAUAUGACAUUAAAUUAAGCAGUAAACAAACAGUUACAGAGAGGGUCGAAUGAUUUGCCAAUUAACAAUAAAAUAGUAAUUGAAGGACGUACCAUUAUGACCAAUGUUCCAUGGAACAAAAUUAAUAUUCCUUCAAUUGUGAACAGGUGGGAUCAAUUAAAAAAGAUAGAGGAAGAAAACUGUAGCUUAAUAAUUCAUUUGCCUUACCCCUAAGAGAAGGAAAAUGUGAGGAAGGGCAGAAAUAUUGUUAGUGAGGUAAGACGAGAGGUUUCUGGAUGUGUUUUGUUAAAUAUUUAACGUUUGGGCAGAUUGAAGGAAGAGGGCCAGUCCAUGCCCUGAUGAUGAGAGGAUUGUGUAAGGGACACUGGUUCAUCCUCAUAUGGUGGUUGUCCCCUGGGGCAAACUGUCCAGUGUGGUAGCAACUGGAGCAACCAGCACAAAGACUGAGGUGGGUCAUGUGAUCUAGCUUUGUUGUGAUAAUUAUUAGCCAAUUAAUGAAUAAACCAAUAACAAAUCUGGAAAUGAAUAUACAGCAUUGCUCCCCAGCCUAAAUCAGUGAUCAGCACCCUAGGGUGUCUGAAUCAAGGAUUUCGAUUGAACCCCGUGACCCAAGGACCGUUGUGCACACACACCUAAUCCAUCGUCCUGGUGGGACAUGAGUUUGUAGUUCCCAUGAGGGGGAAGGGCAUCUUGGUUUGGGUUUUUUGUAGAUCUUAGGUCUGCCCCCAGUGAGUCAGGACAAUGGCGGUUACAGAUUCAUUAAUCAUGACAGUAGGUAUUGGAUAUUAAUCAUUAUUAAAUUAUCUCUGAGAAGUUGGGUUGCAGUGAGUCCGUGGGUCAAGGGUGCUGCCGUGUGGUUAGUAGCAAACAUGGAUGUAUGUGAGCUUCAGGUUCUUUCCUGCUUGGCGAUAGCUAAUUCUAUUAAGACUUUUAUCAGGGGCUUUGAGUGUAGUGCAGGUAGAACACUUGCCUAGUUGUACAGGCCCUGGGUUCCAUCCCCAGCACUGAGAGAAUCGUUUUUGUUUUUUUUAAAUGUAUAUAUUUUAGUUGUAAUUGGACACAAUACCUUUAUUUAUUUAUCAACUUGUGGUGCUGGGGAUUGAACCCAGUGCCUCACAUGUGCUAGGUGAGCACUCUACCACUGAGCAGCCACAACUCCAGCCCCAAGAAUCAGUUUUUUUUUUAAGAGAAGGGAAAAAAGAAAAACAUAAUAAAUCAGAACUUCCCAACUGAUAGAAGAUCAAGUCCUGGCCAAUAGUAAGAGGUGUUAUAAGAUAGGAGCAAUGAUCCGGCGAGGCCCACUCAGUAAGUUUCUAGUGUAUGUGUCGGUGUUGAGACCAUAGGCAGGUGUUGGCAUUAUUUAGGGCUCUAUCCCUGGGUAUGCAGUCUCACAAACAGUGAUGGCAUUCUUAUCGGUGAAUGAAGGAAGGGAGUAUUUAAAAGAGGGCAGACAUGGACCAUGGAAGACCACCUGUCAUUUGAAAAGUUAAUUGCAGAGCUGGGGAUGCAUCUCGGAGCACUUCCCUAGCAUGUGUGAGGCUCUGGGUUCCAUCUCUAGUACUGCAAGUAAGUAAAUAAGUCAUCGAAUGAACUAAGGAAUGAAAAGCUCAACGUUCCUCUUGUUCUGAUCUACUGAUGCCCAUGUCAAUAAAAGGAGCCUGAGAUUCCGCCCAGGUUAUUACCUGUAAUAAUACUGCAGACUGUUUUGCAUUUUCUAUGAAGAUUUAAAAAGUUAUUCUGUGGGUAAAUAGAAAAUAAAUGAAUAAUUGAAUGAAAUCAUAAUGCAAUCGGAGAAGAUGUGGGAGGAAAUGAGAAGGUAAACUGAGUUAUGAUCCAGGAGCACCCAUGAGAGAAGACCCAGGUUCUCGCCUGUGUGUGGGGCAUAUCCAGACAGAAUCGAAAUGUGCAUAGUUGUGACUUGCCUACAGGGGUGUUUAGAAUUAGCAGUUUUUAUUGUAACACAUAAAUUACUAAUUGAAGUCAAUAAAUAAAGUGGGGGACAUUUUGGGCUAGUAAUGGGAAUGUGAUGAAAACUUGGGAAAACUUGGGUACUUAACACGUUGGGUACAGCAGGAUUAAAGUCCCACAAACAAAACCUAAAUCUGCAGUGCUUGAAUUUUCUAACAACUGCUUUUCACUCCACAGAUCCAAGAUACCAAAUCUGAUUUAUUUAUUAUCCAUUGUUGAAAACCGUGGCUGUUGUUUCUGUGGCUGAGGAGCAAAGGGACUUGGGAAGAAAAAAGAAAUCUAGACUUAUCCUACUUUGGAAAAAAUGCCAAAAAUCAGCAGUUGCAUGAAGUGGUAUUUCAAUCCUGAACUACUGGGACCAUUGGAGAGUGGCUUAUUCCUGAGAAACAAAGCCUGGGUGGUUGGCUCUGUGGGUAACGAACAUAGAGAACAAUGUAAGUGAGACCUCACCCUCCUGUCCUUGCCUGUGCUGCUUUUUUACUGUGUUUAGUGGUUGUGCAAAGGAACCCAUGUGCACAAGAGAAAGAAACAUCACCAAGAACGGACCGGUGAUGGGAAUAUGUCCCGAACCAAAAAAUAGGUUUAAUCUAAUUUGAUGCAAUGAAGGUGACUUUAUUUUCAUUUUUAAUUUUGGAGGUGACUUUUAAAAGGUAGUAGUUGUUUCGGUUAUUUUCAGAGCUGUUUAGCUUUGUAGCUUACUUUCCACCACACAUGAUUGGAACAUUUCCCUGUCUGUGUGGUACUGACUGAGGCGUCUGCCCAUGGCAACUGGGGAGAUGGGGAAGACGUUGCGAGUAGAGCAAGAUGGUGGUUUCAUGGCUUUUCAUUAAACCACCUUUGAAAGUGGGCAAACUGAGUCCAAGAAGGUCACGGAGGACCCGUGGCCCCUGCAGAUCUUGGUGUGCAGCACAGACGCCAGUAGGUCACACAUGUUCCCUGAGGUCCAAUGUUAAAGGGCUCUUGUCUAUGAGGAGAGGGUGGCUCCCAUGGAGGUCCUGUUGCUAAAACAUUGUGAUUGUAUUGUUGUUAAUUAAUUAAUUAAUCAAUAAACAAAGGAAGAAAAUGUGCUGGACCUGUGAUGAGUACCAUGGGGUAUCUGAAACAGGAUAUUUUGAUUAAACCCAUAUGUAUCUCUGAGGUCCACAGAGAGAGACAUAAUCAUUCCUCCUUUGGACGUGAGUUAAGGUAAGGUAAUGUUUCCUUGGUUUGGGGGAUAUAUUCCCCCCACACUUUUUUUAGUACAGUGCUAGUUAGAUCAAGCCCAGCAACUGCUCCACCACUGAGCUACACCCUCAGCCCAGAUUUUACUUUUUGUUUAAAUUAUAAAGUCAGCCUGUUAAUUUUAAAAAGUCUGAAAAAAGAAGGCAAAUUAUGCAAUUAUUAUGAAGGAAUGUCAUGCCACAUGGAUUAUUAAAACGUGUCUGAGUCUCCCAAAAGAUUUAUAGUCAAGGCUCUUGCCAUUUUGGUGAAGGUACAGGUGGUCAUUUGUAUACAGAAGCUUGUGAUCAGUUGUGGUGAUGGUUACUGAUUGAUUGUUUUGUUAAGGAAACAAAGUGCAUAUUCAUAUAAAUUGUUGGUAAAUAACCACAUAAUUGUCAGGCAAACAGGGUCAAUGAUCCAACCAUUCAUCUUUUCACUUUUACUAAUUUUUAUUAAAACAACAUAAAACCAAAUGGAUCUGUUAUCCUGAGUUCAAUGUCUGUGGACAUGUAAAUACUAUUUUGUGUCAUGGCCCGGUGCUGUGACAUUACAGAUUAUAGUGUCUUGAUAUUUGAAAAGCAAGGCAUGAUUUUUUUCUUAAUUUUCAGUUAUACAUGACAGCAGAAUUUAUUUUGAUAUGACUAUACAAGCAUGGGAUCUAUCUUAUUCUAGUUAGGAUCCCAUUCUUAUGAAUAUACAUGAUUUUAUGACUUUAUUUAUUUUUUUUAAGUCAGCAAACUGGACCAAUUAGGAACAAGUCAUGAGGAUUCCGAUCCCUGUUUUUUUUUUUUCCAUGACAUUAAACAGGGUCUCUUGUAUUUUUUAGAAAGAUGUACAUGGAGUUUUAAUCUGGUUCUUUAAAGCAUGAGGACAUUUUUAAAAGUAGGCUUUCUUUCCCCACUGUAGAACGCAAACCACAGUGGAGAUGUUAUUGCUCUAUGAUCAGUAACCAUCAUUGUUACUUCUCUACAAGGAGCAUAAAGACCCAAGUGAGGAAGCCUCAGAAUGGCUGUUCUGGGCACAGAUGGCCUUCCUCCUUCAAGGGAACCCACUAAAUUAUUUCAAUAAAAUAAUUGUUGAUUGGAAUGUGUCAUGAACCAAAAAUUACAAGUAAUUUAACUCAUUCCCACUAAGGACCAAGACUGAAGAGAUGGAGGGCACUUCACAUAUUUAACUUUCUACUUUAUGUCUCUUCCAACCGUGACCUAGUGUAGUCCCUUAUUUACAAACGUUGCUAACUCCUUGUGGCAGGAGUGCUUUGAAAGGUAAUUUUGAAGGGCAUGUACUUUGUUAUUAGGUCCAUGGCUGCUGGUUUCACCAGCCAAUCAGAAGUUAGGAUUGACAUGAAGCAUGUUGUGCUGAUUGGUCCGUAUGUUGGACCAGGGGCUCACUGUGAUAAGAUGUCUUAUCUCUUUGCUCUCAGUGAAGGGGAACAGUGAACAGAUUUUGGUUUCAUUAAACUCAUUUGUUCUUGGUCUUCUUGUCAUUAUGGGGUUCUGAAUGUAUAAUUAUUAUUCAUGAAUCAGAGAAUGGUUGAACUGGUUCAAGGAGGGAUAAAUGCUUGAAGAGAUGGAACGCCAAUGGAUCAAUGGUGAGCAUUGGUUGAGGUGUCCACAUCAACCUUCUGAUGAAGCCCUCUGUGUUAACUCGGGUUUGUUACAGAAUAAGAAGCAGCUAAUAUGUUCUGUAGAAAUUACCUAAGAGCAGAAGUUAGGAAAAUUCAAUAAACUUGGCCCUGGGAUUUUGUGGUUUGAAGAUAUGGAAUGUAUUAUACCAAGCAAAUCAAUACCUUCGUGAGUUGAGAAAUAUACAUGAAAGAUUAACAGACCUAUUCACAGAGCAAUUAGUAGAGGACAAUAAAACAAAUAUUAUUAGCAUUAUUACUUGCCAUAAAGAAGGGCAAUUAUUAAUCUGAAGUAAAAUGAACAGACGGAGUCUAUAAUGCUUUAUUUUAAUGUGGAGCAUAAUACUGAUAGUUACAAGACUUUUUUUUUUCAAUUUGCUUCUUUUUUUUUUAAUUAAGAAAAGGGAAAGUGUUUGUAUCAACCAGUAAUCCUCUGAAUACCCAUCUACUUACUAGAUGUUUAUCUAGGCAGGUAUUUGUAAUUGUUAUAGAUCUUUUUUGGGGGAUGGGUGGUGUACUCAAUAGUAUUUAUCACAUUAUUUAAAAUUAAAAGUUCAAUACUGACUAAUGAAAAAUUGCGUUUUGAGUCAAAGUUUAUUGCUACCUAGUUCUGCUUGAAUAAUCCAUUAAAAAUAAAUCUAAAUCUAUUCUAAAUCUUUUUCCUCCCCAGAGUGAACACCAGGCAGCUGAUUUAAUCAUUUAAUCAAGAAUUAUUGUCCUGAAUGAGGAGCAGAGAUGCUGAUAAAGCAUUCCCACAUGUGUGGAGAUCCUGGCUGGUACUGCCUUUGGGACCGUCCACAAGAACAUGGAUGAUCUGUGAACACAUUCACCUAUUCAAUCACUGUCUUCCUGUGAAGACCUGGCCUUUCCUCUCUUUGGAUAAGAAGAGAAGAUGUCAACCACCUUGGAUUUGGUCAUUCUUCAUGAUGAAGACCUUGACAGUUGCUUCCAUGGAAUGAAGACCACAGCUGAUUUAUUUAGUCUCUGCUGUCGAAGAUCUUAGCUGUUGCCUUUGUGAGUAAGAAACCUAAUGACUAAAGUAAGUAAAAGCUCAAGUUUUGUCAAUUUGCUUGAUAUUUUCAUUAGUUGCUUAUUGAAUUGCUUGAAUUAAGCCAUAUAUGGAAAAAGGACAUGUGUUAUGAAACUCAGAUUCGUCCGAUUAAGCACAGUUGUAGUUAAAGCAUAGAAGAUAUUCCACUCAUUUUCAGAGCUAAUCAUUCAUCUAAUUUCUGCUCUACAUUUAAUUCAAAAUUUAUCCAGUCACAAAAUCUAGGGUCGCCAUGUCCAAUAGGGUUGCCCCAUCCGUCCGUGGCUGUCUGUAUUUUAAAUGAUGGGAAUUUUAGGAAUUCUUGUGUUCAGUUGCUAUAGUCCUCUUGGUCGCUGCCUGGGGUUGUGGGGCAGUUGGUAGCACGUGUCCGUCAUCAUACAAACUCCCUGAGGAAGAGCACAGGGGAAGGUGAGAGACAGACAGGACAGGUUGGCCAGGAGCAGGACGCUUGCUCCACCCAGGGCCACUCUGUCAAGAGGUCCUGUGGAGGGAGGAGGCCUUAUCUGUAGGGAAACAACCUGUAACCAGAUCCUGGUAGCAAUCCAGGUUAUUGUUCUUGGCUUUUAAAAAACAUUCAUGAUUAUUGAUGUUUUUUACUCUAGUGAAGCUGUGCAUAGAUCUAUAAAUAAAGACAGAAAUUAAGAACAAGAUUGCUAUCCUGAAUCAAUGAUGAGCAGUACCCUGGGUGUCUGCAUCAAGGAUUUUUGACUAAACCCUAUGCCUGGGAGGUUCAUUGCAAUAAGAUUGAGAUUUGUUAUCUCUAUAAGAAAUGAGCUGAUUCUAGGAGUUAAAAAUAAUAGGGAUAGUGUUUUGGGGGCUUCUGAGUGUGGAAUAUAUUGUUUUCAGUAGAGCAGGUCAUAAAUAAACCAAGAAACCUAUAAAUGAGAGAGAAUGGAUGACUCCCAUUUAAGCAUGGGGGUUGAUAAGGCAACAAGAGGACAGUUCCAGGGACAUAGGUGAUCAGAGCCACCCCUCUUGGUGAAGGAGCAUUGAGAUAGGUGGAUGCUAGACACUGUUUUGUUCUAAUUAUGUUUUAUUUUUUAAAAAGGCAAAAUAUUUACUUAAUUUCAUUAUUGAUUAAUUGAAAGAGGGCAUAGGUCGGGAUCUAUGUUGAGAGCCUGUCACAUGGCCAGUUCUGAUUAAUACAGUGAUCUGCACUGUGCUUAACGUCAGUUCUUGGGUUUAAUUAAAAAAAAUAAUAAAAAAAUGAUCGGAUCUUUUUUUUCUGUGUCUAAUGAGCAUCUAGACAGGCAUUAAUAUUGUGCAGUUCCUGUGGAGUCACAGAUAUAUAAUGGUCUCAUUAUGAACUUGAAAAACAGUAAGUUAAUGCCGCAGUUAAUCAUUUAAAAGGAAGCAAAUCAUGGACCAAGGAGGACCCAGGUUCUAAAACAGGGAGAUGGAUCAGUGUAGUUCCCCACGCACUCCAGAUAGUUAAAAUAGACUUAGGACCUUGCAUUUUUGGAAUGAUGGCUAUAUUUAUGAAUUUAAAUAGAAUUUCCCUUUUUUGGCUUGUUGAUACAAUGUCCUUAAAUAUGGAAUAGCUAAAUGACACCAUGUGUACCUAGAGAGGUCCUGUGUGUUCAUGUGCAUGUGGAUAUAGCUGAGUGUGCCUCCAUCCACAUCCUGUACCAGGGUUCAUUCAGAAGAUUCAGCACUUCCCUGCAUGGGUAGAGGCAUGCAAAUAGACAUAUGUGAUAGUUCUUAUUCUUUUGUCCGUUGCUCAUUAUAGUAUAUUUAAUAUUCGCCCAAUCGGUGAGUCCACAGGGAUGCCAUAGGUAUGUUUAAAUGUAUGACAAGCACUGAGUUUUAUGCUGAUCAAAUAUUGAUUUGAACUGAAAUAGAAAAAAAAAUCCCUCUAUCUAUCUAAUCUGCUCUUUUUCUGUUUCUAUUCUGCAGAAUGGAUGCACAGAGAUACAAUCUUUCUCUAGCGAGGAAGGUUUUGGUUGUUAUCCUUUUGAGUAAUGAGGUUAGAAAUCUAUGUAAGUAAUAGAUUAAUUGAUUCUGGUUUUAUGGUUUAUCAUGGACGUUAAUUCUGUCAUUGAGAGGGAAUAAGUGGGUACGUAUACAAGUGAAAUGAAUGAAGGUCAGACGUGGACUAAUUCAUCAUAUCUUUGGUCCAUUAAAGAGAAAGAAGCAAGACCAUUCUAUUUUCAUACUCAAUUUAUUCGUGAAUUAAUUAAUGUAACAUUCAUUAUUCUGUUUUAUUUCUGAGUGUCAGUUGAUUUAUUCUCCCUCUGCUUAUGAAGACAUAGUUUAGUCACAUUCCAAAAUGUAAGAUAUCGUCAGCACUGUAUGUGUGGAGUAAAAGGAUGGGUUCAUGCUCGUUUUUGUCAUCUCCUUAAAAAUGGGUGAAGUAGCUAAAAGAUGAUCCAACCCUGACCUGUAUGGGAUUAACAUAAAGCAAGUGUGCUUGCUCUUAAUUACUAGUCUACAAAACUAAGUCUGUCACUCAAAGAGAACUAUCUACUUUCUCUGUGAGAAAUGGACUUUGGACAGGUAUUAAGCACACCUUUCUUUCUUUUGUGUUACUGAAGAUUGUACCCAGGGCUUUGCACAUGCUACGUAAGUACUCUACCCCUGAGCAUAGCCCCAGCCCUGUAAGAAACUUCAGUUUCUUAUUAUUGUGUUUUGUGAACCAUAAGUAUUGAUUAUAUUUUAGUGGAUUCUUGAGCCGGGAGCAAAUGUAUGAAUGAAAGAUGACGAAGAAUGCUAAGCAAGGAGCAUGCUGGGUUUUUGUUGGCUUUGAACCAAGGGUUUUGGGUAGUCCAAAUUUGGUCAGUGCCAAAUCAGUAUUUUCCAUUCCCACGACGACCCCUCUGGCUUAGAAACAUAUAAACAUAUCCUAGUAAUAGGCAUUGUUCUUAUUAUUCUAAUAGGGUAAUUUGGUAGUUGUUCAAUUUAAUACAAAAAAAAAGGAAAAGAAAAAAUGUUAAAUAAAUAAAUGAAAAUAAGCAAAAAACGACCAAAUGGCAUAGGAAGUCUGGGUUAUGUAACAAGGAUGAUGGUUCAUCCUGUUCGAUGCAACCUCUACCCAAUAUAGGAGACACAGGCUGCCUGUGCCUUGGACAUUACACAUGCAGGGAGAAGCACUCAUUUAUUUUACUUCUGCAUUGCUGGUUUGUUUACUCUAUUGAUUUUUUUUAAGCAAUGUGGAUGCAUGAUCAAAUUAAUCCAUGAGGAAGUACAUAUAGAAUAAAUACAUAUGUUCAGCAACUUAUGCAUACAUCCACAGGGGUAAUCAAGGCCCAUUGGUGAGGCUAUCAAACAGUCAUUUAAAUUAAUUAUAUUGGAGAAUAUUCUAUUUUUAAAGUAGACAUACAUUGUGAUCUACAUAGGAUGGGGCAUAGAAACAGCAGCUCCUAGUAGAUGUAGCACUUUUCCUUGUGUUUGCUGAUCAGUUAAUCAUUUUCAUCAUACAAUUAAAAAGUAAAUCUGAGAAGGUCCUAAGUGAAUCAUAAACCACCAGUGACAAAACUCUUGUCACAUCUCAAGGACUUUAAUUAGUUUAGUCAUACAUGACAUCCACAACACGGAAAACAACCACAGAGUUUCCUUCCUUCUGACAUCGGUUUUCUGUUCCGCAGCCUAAACGCCUGACAGCUGGUUUCAUCAGUCUCUGGUGAUGGAGGCUUGGAUAUGUGCCAGUGUGACGUGGAGUGCAGAGGCUGACCCCAGGAACUGUCAACGUUCUCCCAUCCGAACACAGGCCCCUGUCAUGAGGUUCUGAGUUAGAGAGUUGUGAUUUUUAUCAUUGAAAAAGAUGUUCCCAAGAUGGUGUUCCCAAGAUGGUGACUGAAUUCUUCUGUAGUCAUGAGGUUUGUGGUCACUGCCAUGUUGUUCACAACACAGGAGCCAAUGUAAGUUGAGUCAAAUUGCUUGUCCUGGAGCGGGUGGUAUUUCAAGUAUAUUGGUGAUAUGAUAAAUGGAUUAUAUACAAUCUGAACAUAGCAAAUGUGGCUGGAUGACAAAUAUGGCAUGAACAUGAAAUAUUAUAUUGGUUAAUCAUCAUUUAUACAAAUAACGUUGGUUAAGGAGAGAGGCAGGCACUUUGGAGAAAGAUCUUAUAGUGGGCCAUGCCCUAUUCCUAAGGAUCUUGUUCUCAGAGAUUUGUGACUCAUAGUUACAUAAAUACUUUCAGUGAGAAGAUGAAUUGGUCAAUAAGCACCUGUAGAUAUUAUUGAGAAAAGAAGAGACAAAGUUGGAUCAAUGAUGACCACUGGUGGCAUAUGAGUCACGGAUGAUGACUGCGGGUCUGGAUAUCUGAGGUCCAAUACAGAUGACACCUAGUAGAUACUGGGUGAUGUUUGGUAUAGAUGUUAGGAAGAGUCAAAGAUGUUUUUCUUUGUCUCGGGAUUCCUUUUUUCUUUUAAAAUAUUUUUAGUUGUACAUGGACACGAUAUCUUUUUUUUUUUUUUAAUUUUUAAUGUGGUGCUGAGAAUUAAACCCAGUGCCUCACAUGUGCUAGGCAAGUGCUUUACUACUGAGCCACAAUCCCAACCCCUGUCUCUGGAUUCUUGAAUUUUGAUUUUAUUUUUAUAAUUGGUUCAAAAAUCUGAAUCAGUAAGCAGUAUUCUCUGAAGGACAAAUGAUGUGUGAAGGCACAAAACACCAAUGAUGUAUAUUGAAUCACAGAUAUCCAUUAGGAAGUGAAGGAUCAGAAGAGCUAUAACUUUGGAUGAGGAUCAUAUAUUCAUGAAAAAAAAUGUCCUAUGUCUUUGUUCUGGGCUGAACCCCAUUCAAUGUUUAUUUUCUCAAGGAAAAAGAAUUAUAGUUUAAUACAAACACAAAUGACUAAUAAAAUGAAACAAAUGCAUGGAGUAACAGUGUCUUUAAAAUCCGUUGUACUUUGUACUCUUCGGAAUGAGUGUUCCAAAGAUGACCAGAGUUGCAAGGUCCAUGGAUCUUUCUUGUGUUCUUGGAGGAGAGACCAAUAAUGGACACUCUGAGAGGAUGGAAGCAUUCUUCUCUGGCCCUGUGAUGUACAGUUCCUGUGUGUGUUAGGAGCAGUGGGUGCUCCCAAGAUGUCGACAGCAUUCUUCUCUGGCCACAAGAAUGGACACUCUCAGAUGAUGGAAGCAUUCUUCUCUGGCCCUGUGAUGUACAGUUCCUGUGUGUGUUAGGAGUAUUGUGAGAAAGAACAGAUGCACUCUAUUUGAUUGAUGGAUUUCUGAAGUUGCCUGUCUUAUUGGGGAACUGAUAGAAAUGUGACCUGCAUGGACCAGUAGAGAUAAGGUGUCAAUUUUGCUUUUGUUCUGCUUUUCGUUUCCCUGAAGAGACCCCUGGGCUGUGUUGAGCAUUCUGCCUCCAUCGUGGGUUCAAAGGUUGCCUAUCUGGGUAGGAGUUUGGGCAGCAAGAGUGGACACACCCCGACUGAUCAAAGCAUCUGGCCCUGACUGUGACCUCUGUGGCAGACCCUGGGUGCGGGAGCAUAAAGAUCAACAUGUGGUCGUCAGUUACCAUCUUUGGGAAGUUUGUUUAUUUUGUUUGGAACAUUCAAAGUUAAUAAAAGAAGUAUAUUUAAAGUAAAAAGAACAAUUGUUGUCCAAAAAAAAAAAGGUGGGAUUAACAUGAAACGUUGUGUUGAUGAAUCAUUUUUCUGGCGAUCAGGAUGAUUGAAGUGGGGCCAUGGAUUCUGGAGACAUUUCUGUGGACACUUGAAUCAUCAUAUUUAAUGCAUCCGUGAAACACUGAGGACCGUGUCUUGAUAUGCCCAUGUUGACAGUGAAUCUGUAGCUACAUGUGGGUGUCAGGUCUUUCUUUCUUGUUUUCUCUUUGUCCCUUGGAAUUUUUGUCUCCUAGGAUCUUUCUAUUUCUCAUAGGAUUUUUAAAAAGCAAUAUUAAUGGAUUAAUCAAUGAAGAAUUGUAGAUGGGAAUGAAAUGCAUGGGGCACGUGGACCAUUGAUGGGAAGGGGCGGCAGGCGAGUCCUACGUGAUGCGAAGUCAGACACAGAGUAGUAGCUGCCCAACGCUGGGGUGCAGUGGGAGAAAGGGGCAGAUCAAAGCAUACCAAGCAUCAUUCAGAGAGGCAGAGGUUUAGGGGAGCCUCGCCCAUCCUGGUGAGAGUGGUUGUUAACAAUGGGUAGCACUGUCUCAAAACGGCUCAAAGACUAGAUUUUUAAAUACAAGAAUAUUUACAAAAAUGUACAAAUAUGUACAAAAAUGACAAGGCUAUGAAUUGAUAGAUGUGUUUCAUUAGCUUGAUUUAACCAUUCCACAGUGAAAACAUAUGUCAAAACAGCACAUUGUAUCCUGGAAAUAUAUAUAAUUAUUUGUCAAUUAAAAAUGGAAAAAGAAACCCUGACUAGACCGAUACUCUCACAUGAGAAAGAUUUUAGAAGUAUGAAAGAAUUAUUUUCGUGGAUUUUGAUCCUAGUGUCAUUUGUGGCCCCCAUGGCAGAAUUGCAUGCACAGUAAAUGAGAGAGGGCGUGGAGGGUGGAGAGUGCCUACUCUUAAUACCCCUCUAAUACUGUUAAUGUAAGCUGAAACCUAAGGUCCUCGAGGGAAUGUCAGUGGAUCACGUGUCUUAUCUCUGACCAAGGAUGAUAUAGAUAGUACGCUCAGUUUUUAUUCUGGGCCUACGGCAAUUUUGAUAUUUUUCAUUUUCUUAUGGAAAAAUAACAAAUAUGAACCCAAAGUCAUAUAAACUUAAUCGCUCACUAAACAAAAGGGGGAUUGUGCAGAUCAGUCUUGGUCAUCGACUCUGUCCUUCUCAGGAUGGGCAGAGCCAGGUGGGUAGGACGAGGCUGUGCGGUCACCUCUGUGUGUCGGACCGUGGAGACCAGUGUGGAUAAUGGCCAGUGUGCUCAGUGUUUUGUCCGGGAUAUCGAGUGUGCUAUCCCAGAAAGUAAGGCUAAUCAGAGAGGGCAGCUGUUGCCCCGUGAUAAAUAUGGCGUUGAAAUGGAACAUGGCGUUGAUCCAUUGAUCUUUUUUUUUUUUUCUUGUCACAGUGAGGAUGAAUAAUGAAGGAAGAGUAGUCGAUGAAUGUGAUUGUCUAGAAAAAUAUUAAGGAUCUCCUGUGCAGUUUUUAUGAUCAGUGGCUAUUUAUUUUAUUAUUACUGGAGAAUUAUAAGUUAAUUAGUUAAUAAAAGUAGAUGAGAGUGUAGAGAAAUUGACCCAAGACAGGGUAAUGACGAUGACCCUGGGGUAUGAGUUCUAUGCAGUGAGUGACUACUGCGUGCUCCAUUCAGUGAGACCUGAUAAUAACAAAACAAAGUAUAUCCGUUUGGGUUGGAGUGAUCUUAUGUACAGAUUCUAGCAAUGUAAAGGGACCAUUUUCUUGGAUUGCUUUUUCUAUAGUUGUGUUCUACUGUCAUAAAUGAUAACAACGUUACAAUCAUUGGAGAAAUGUAAAUAAGCGAAGAUAAGAAGUGUCUACUCCGUAACCGUGGCGAGGCAAUAAAAAUACUAAAAUAUAUUGAAAAUACCGAAUUUUGGGCUGGGAUUGUGGCUCAGUGGUAGAGUGCUCGCCUAGCACAUGUGAGGCCCUGGGUUGGAUCCUCAGCACUACAUAAAUAAAUAAAAUAAAGAUAUUAUGUCCAACUACAACUAAAAAAAUAAAUAAAUAUUAAAAAAAGAAAAUACCAAAUUUUAUUAAAAAGAAUUUUUUAUUCUUAAAAAUUAAAAAUAGUCUAUUAAAAAAAGUGCCUUACUUCUUUGAAUGAGGAUGAUUUAGACAAUUCAGAUUGUCUAUGGAUCAGUGGAAAUUUUGAUAUUCUUCAUUUUCUUGAGAGAAAACUUAAUAGGUAUCACCUCAAAUUCAUAUGCACCUAGAGGGCUCGAUGAGGGAGCACCUCCAUCUGGGGUCAGUUGCUCAGCACGUGCACUGCUGAACUACCCCCAGCACCGACCACACUCUGGGUGCCCAGGCUGCCUCUCUGUGCUGAGGCACUCGGUCCACUCUGGGCUGGAGUGAAGCACAUCUACUGGUUUUUGUGACAAGGGGAUCAAUCAGAGGCCUGAUCCAUCAGGCAAACGGUUCCCAAGACAGGUGGUGGGCACACAGAUGGAUCUUAUGUGGUCUUUGAGUGUUUGUGAUUCACACGUAUUUAAUUAUUAUUGGCAAAAUCACAGAGUCAUCAAUAAACCAGUUUAGGUAGGACGGAGGAAGGCCCAACCUUCGUCCAGCGAGGGCAGCUGGUGGCACCUGAGUCACGGAUAACAGGUACCAUGUCUGGACAUCUGAGCCAGACCCAGCAAGGCCCUAUCCUGAGGGAUGCCCUUGUUCUGUUCCAUGCUUUCGCCUAUGCAGAUUAAUUCAUUGGUGAACAAUAAAUAACUAGGUGUGUCAAACAAUAAAUAAGUGCAUGAAACCUUGUCUAGCCAUGAAUGUCUGUGGUGAGGCAUGGAAUAACGUGAAUAUAAACAACACAUUGAAACACGUCAAGCAAUCAGUGGACUGAAGAUGUCACUUCUUUUCCUAAGGACCAUUAGGCAGUGACACGGGUAGGCAGCAUCCAGUUUUGUAGGUGUGCAUCCAACACACCCAAACAUGUUUCUGUGUUUGUAUCCAUGUUUAUAUUAUGAAACAGUCGACACCUGACUGUCGGCACAAAGGAGGACAAUAAGGACUCCUUAGGGACCACCUCAGCCUCUUACUCAUGUUCUUUGUCUCAUUGUCCUCAAGAAGGACACACGCCCCCUCAUUUGUGCGUUCCUCCAUGGAGCGAGCUCCGUGUUCCCUCGAGGCUGAGGGCAGAGGACCACUGUGAGGAAGGCUCACAUCCUUCUGAGAGUUUUGCCAUGAGGUGGUCACUGUGUCAUUAAAAAUGUGAAACAUAAUCCAAAAGGCCAACCAUGGACAACAAUUAAGGUGGAAUUAAUGAGAUUUAUGAAUCCCCAAGUGAUGAAAGUUCAUGGAAAAAAUACAUGGAUACGCCGAGUGAUCCUUCAGACAUGCACGACACUCAUUGCCCUGCCUCUCAGGUUUUUGUGAAACCUAGUUUUAAAACUUACAUCAAUAAGUUGAUCAAUUAACAAAUACACACGAGAAUAAAGAAAAAGGGAUGUAAUCCUGAGUCACAGGAUGAGUGUUCUGUGUGUGAACCUCUGAGGUCCAAUAAAAAAGUGGGUGUAGUCUACACCUCUGUUUAAAGCGCCCCCAUAGACUGAUAUCAGGAAAGUUAAAGGCUCACUUUUUGGAAUGACCCAAAGAAAGAAUUAGUGUACAGAUAAAAUAUGGUGAAGAUGGUCUCACAUUCCCACCAGUCCUGUACAUGGGUAAGUAAUUAAAACCAUGAACACAGUAAAUAUACAGACAUCUAUCAAGGAAUAUAACUGUCUCCACCCUCAUCCUUCUCUGGACAGGAAUGACAUCUACAGCCAAUAAUCAAGUUCUGUAAUGUUGGUUUUCUCCAGAGAAGAACAGUGAAUGUCCUACUUCCCUGUGCAGUAUAACACUGAGCAAGGGCCAAGUGAAAGGCGGGGCCCCAAAGAGGAAUCACAACUUUGUGUUCAUAUGUUCCACAUUGUACAGUUCCGAAACUUUGUGGUAAAGCAGGAAACAUAUCAACACAUACAGAUCAUAGUGCAGUUCAAAGAGAAAUAACUGGUGUGUGCAUGUCUCCUUUUGACUAAUGGUGGUGUAGACCUAAUUAUAGACAGUGUUCUGGGUCAAUGGCAAGUUCAAAUUAAUGAAUUGGCACAAAUCAAGAAUGAACAGUGAGCACACCCCAUUUGUUGUCAACAUCUCUGCUCUCUUCUUCUCAGAGUGGACAUUGCCUUUGGACAAGAGGGCUGGCCCAUGGUCAGGUGCUGUUAGCGCCCUUCUGAGGAAGAGCUGCAGACCUGUAUUGGACCUGGCCUGUGGACAGGAGGAUGGCUCCGUGGUCUGGUGCCCUUAGGACCCUCCUGAGGGGAGCGGCCGAUCAGUGUGAGUCCUGGUCAAUCUUCCUGUUUGAGAUGGGUUGGCUUGCAUAAGGCUUGUGUCAGUCGAGUAUAAAUUAAUGAAUCAGAAAGUAGCCAUGGUCAGACAGAUCAAGGAUGACUGCUGGAGGUGUAUGGGUGAGGACCUCUGGAUCUGAGGUCCUUCCCUAUCUCCCACCAAGGGUGUUUGUCUAAAUGUCUCCCUGUGACAGAUUAAAAGUGGGGCACUUCUCUGAUUGUUGUCAUUUUCUCUGCCCUCUGCUUCUCAGAACGGACCUGGCCUGUGGACAGGCGGACGGCUCCAUGGUCAGGAGCCAUGAGCACCCUGUUGAGAGGAGCUACAGCCCAGUGUGAGUUGUGGUUAGUCUUUCUCUUUGGGACGGGGUGACUUGCACAGGGCUUAUGAUCAUUCAAUUAAUGCAUGAAUAAUGAUCCAGAAAAGGAGGUGGUCGGAGUGAGCGAGCAGCCGCUGUGGGACAAUGAUGAUCCUGGGAGCUGUACGAGUGAGGACAGUGACUGCCUUUGAAUCUGAGGUUCUUCUCCAACUCCGACCAGAUCUGAUUGCUUAAGGGUCUCACUGUGACAGGUGGACUCUAGGGCGCCUCUCAAUUUGUUGUCAUCUUCUCUGCCCUCUGCUCCCUAGAAUGGAUACGACCUGUGGACAGAAGGGUCUUCCAUGUCCAUGGUUGGAAGAAGCUGCUGACCACUACUGGAUGAUUUUGAGCCCAUUAAUGCUGCCAUCAUGUUGUCAUGGAGUUUGGAUUACUGGACCCUCUUGGAGCUGGUUUGGAACUCCUCCGUGGCCAGGUGCUCCAUGGGUGACUCUCCAGCAGAUCUGGAGCAUGGAUGCUUUCGAGGGGAUGGAGCCAUACCUCCCUGGUCGCCAAACCAUGGGCUGCAUCUCUGCAUCAGGACUUGGGACCGAUGUGAGUCAUAGCUAGAGUUCUUUGGGUGGUUCUGCUGGAUCAUUGAAGGGUCUUUGCUUAAGUUGUAGAAAAUGUGAACUGUAAUACAUUAGGCACACCCAAGGCCAACGAUCAGAUGAAUGGGAAGUAGUAUACCAAAAUACAUGUGUACAAAGCUGAGGGUGGUGGUUGGAGAAGUAGAGUGGUAAGAUGAUACCUAUACAGAUGACCACCACCAGGGCUAUCUGUGGGCUUUCUGGGAAUAAGAAGGAUUUCACGCAUUAUUAGUGAAUCAAUGAUUAAAUCAGUAGGUCACUGUUGGUAUGUGCCUCAUGUACUAUGAAAGUGUCUAGAGCCAGCACGAUAGCACACAAUUGCAAUACCAGAAGCUCAGGAGGCUGAGGCAGGAGGUUCAUAAGUGCAAAACCAGCCUCAGCAAAAGUGAGGUACUAAGCAGCUAUUUUGUAUAAAAUACAAAAUAGGGCUGGAGAUUUGGCUCAGUGGUCAAGUGCCCUUGAGGGCUAUCCCACAACAGAUAAGAUCUUUAUUUUCAAGUGUUUUAUGCUAUUAUUUUAUUUGGACCAAUAAACAAAUCAGAGGUCCAACAGAAGCAGACCCUUGUUCAUACCUGCUAUGGAAUGGAUCCUAUGUGCAAUGUCAGGUGAUGGUAGGAUGCAUGGAUCUUUCUCUCCAUGUAUUUCAUGUGUAUUCUUAUAACCUGAUUAAUGGUGGCAGAAUAAACACAUUUAGGGGCUGCAGCAUUGUCCACUGGUAAAGUACAUGAAGGGUAUUUCCUCUGGGGUCAGGAAGGUAUACACAGUGAAAAAUUAUACUUGGGCAUUGUUCUUGAUCUUUUGCAAGUUAGAGUUUAUCCUAUUUUGAGAAAAACAAAUAUUGCCGUAAUUGAUGGAAGCCAAGCGAAGGAUGUUAGUGAAGGAUGGGAUGCAUCCAUCAGUGGAGAGGGCGUCCCUGGCUUAGUGUGAUCUUGUCUGCUUGGUGCUUUACAGUGGCUGUCCCUGACUGGUAUGAGGACCCUGCUGUAUGGAGACAUUCUGUUGUGUCACUGUGUUAAGGAGGUGACCACUGUGAGUGAUAGCCAAGGUGUUUUUCCUUCUCUGGGGGAUGGUAUAGAGGUAUCAUAGCAUCCUUAAAAUUCUUAAACAAAUAAAAACUAACCAUGGCCAAAUAAUGAAUAUGAUGAGGAACCUUGCAGUUAUUAAUUGAUCAUGAGCCACACGGAGGUUGAAUAUUGAGAGAUGCUGUAUGUUUGACAGAGGAUUCUACAGACAGAUGUUGGAUUUGUCCAGCAGCUUAGGUUCUGGACAUCAUGUUUCAUUUUAUUCUUAUACAUUAAUUAAUUACCUAAUCAAAACAAAGGAGCAAAUGAAUGAUCCAUGAAGAGACCAAGACAUGACCUUGUGCUCUUGGCUGGUGUCACAUGAGCCACAUAUGAGGGAGAAAGCGUGUCUGGACAUGAUGUCCAACAUGAGAGGAAUAGAAGUCUUUUGGUAGGCACCAUCCUCAGGACACAGGCAGGAACAUGGAAGGAUCUUGGUCUUCCCCUGUGUGGUUACACUUGCAAAUCCUACAACUAUAGUUAGAUGAGAAAGUGCCAGACAAUGGCGCACCGAGGCAUUGUUUAAUGACAGAACUCAGUGGUGGGUCAGGGAACACAUGGUGUCAGCACACAAGUCCAAUCUGUGCUGGUGUUCCAUGGCCAAGCCUUCGUGGCUUAGAGGACACAGUGAGUGCAGGGACCCUGCAGGGUUCCUGCUGUGGUCUGGGGCCAUUUUGAAUUAGCUACUUUUGCUGAGAGCUAAAACAAUACCCUUUCAGUUAACAUGCAGAGGCCACAUGAGUGAGUUUCUCAAUGAAGAGUGAAAAGCAAGGGUCAGUGGAGAGAAUGUCUCAGUGUGUUGUUUGUUUGCUUUUCUUUCCUUGGGUCUGCUGUGCACUUGUCCCCAGUGGACCCUCUUGGAGCUGGUUUGGAACUCCUCCGUGGCCAGGUGCUCCAUGGGUGACUCUCCAGCAGAUCUGGAGUAGAUAACAUGGACAAUGGAGAGAAGGUUUUCAUCAUGUCCCCUGCUCUGUACUCUUUGGAAGUGACGCAGUCACCUGAUUGAAGCUUCUCUUGUGACCAAAAAUGUCAUUCUUCCUUUGAGUUAAGAAAGACUUAAGGAUGGACAUGCUCCAGUUGACUUUAGCACUCUCUCUGGGGCAGGAGCUCUGCAGCUCUCUCUGUGUGUUCGGAACAUGUUGACCAAGGUGAGUCGACAGUCUGUUCCCUCCAUGUGACCCAUCCUAAAAAGUGUUGCCAGGAACAUACAAGGAUCUUGUGUUAGGCUGUUGUGUUGAUGAAUUCAUCAUGGUGGUGUUACAAGGAAUCAAUGGUAUCAGUGGCCACAUAAUCGAACAUAUGAUGCAUAAAGGUGGUAACCGUGUUCAUUGUUAAACUAUAUAAUAAGUAAAAUAAUAUUAAUCAUAAAGUGGAAUGAAUGAUAAUGGAACAAAUGUACUUCCUCCUCCUGUGUAUAUUGUCUUUGACUAAAAUAGUAAUGGAAAGGGAAUACAUAAUACUGUUUGAUCUGAGAUAUUUAUACAUUUAGUGUUUGAUUUGUUAAGAGAAAAAUAAAUAUCAUCACAAAUAACCUGGGAGACUAGGUAAUUAGAGGGAGGCCUGGGGAUCAGUUGACAGAAUGUCUCAGUGUUUUCAGUCUUCUGCUCUGCUCUGUGCUCCUUGGAGUGGAUGCACCUGUGCUGAUUCAAGGGUGAUCCCUAUGGUGGUGAGCUCUUGCCUCAGCAGGCUCCGAACAGAGACAUCAGCAUGGGUCAUAUUUGGUGGUUGCUUGGUUUAUGCCAAUGAUUAAUAUUUCACGUUAAUAUGAAAUCUUACUUUAAUGUAUAAAAGAAGCCUAAGUUUCAUUCAUGAAAGAUUUUAGGUUUUUGUAAAUAUAAUGUGAUUGACUUCUAGGGACAUCAAAGAGCUUGCUCUUUUUGUGAUUUGCAUGUGUCUCCUUCUUGGUUUCUCUCCCCCUCUUCAACCUCUGCCCUCUGGGAUCUCACAAGGUUAUGUUGCCCUAGGUGAUCUCAAACUCCUGGUCUCAAGGAAUCUUCUCCGUCAGCCUCCUGAGUAGCUGGGACUGGGGGUGCCUCCACUUGACCCAGCUUUAAGUGGUUUGGUAAUUCCAUAAAGAAGAGUAGAUGUGCAUGCUGGGAAAGAGGGCCAGUCCUGAGAUGCAGAAGACAGGGGAGGCUGUGCUGUGGAUGUUCCAUGUGAAGCACUGGACACCACUCACACAGGAUCUAGUCCUUGCCCAUAUUCAGUGUGAUGCCAUAGAUGGGGACAGGAAUACCCAAGGGCUGGUUCGUGGUCUUGUCCAUGAGCUUUGAAAAUGUCAUCCAAAAAAUAUCAAUGGUAGUAUGAAAACAAACGUAUAAGUGAAUAAAAAUGAAGAGGUGAAACAUUGUUCGUGGCUAAAGCAGUAGCAAGCGGGAAUGCCAGUGCGCGCUGGAGUGGAUGACAGAUGGAGCAGGUGGAUAGCUUUGUUGACUAACAAUGGUGUAUGCACUAAGGAACAGUGAUUGCCCCGAGUUCUGUCCAUGUUUGAAGCUUUCUAAGAAGAAAAGUAAGCAAAUAUUACCCUAAAUUAAUAAAUAUCUAAGUGACAUGUAAAUUGGAGAUAGAAAUUAUGGGUCAGUAGACAGAAUGUCCCAAUCUUUUUAUUGUUAUCUCCUUGAAGUAGCCUGCAGAGGAGAUUGGCUAAGCUAAAUUAAGCACUGUGCCGUAUCACAUUCUCCUGUUACUUCUUUCUUCUGAGGAGAUCAUUUUUUUGUUUGUUUCUUAAUGAAAUCUGAAUCAAUCUUUCUGUUUGGAGGAUGCUGCACACAGAUGGUAGGAAAUAUAGAGUGUAUUUGAUUUUUAUCUUUUGUUCAUAGAUUUUUAUUUUACUUUCAUAAUUAGAUUAUACAAAAAGAGUCAUAUAGACAGUGUUCUUGUCUUGAGUUCAGUCAUUUCUUUCAUUUUAUUUCUCUUGUUUGUAUGGUACUAGGGAUAUCCUAGAAUCCAGGGCCUUGCACAUGCUAGGCAAGUGCUCUGCACUGAGCUAUAUACCCAUCAUUGGGUACAGUCAACUUCUUGAGAGUCCACAUAGCAUCAUUAAAAAAUAUCAGACAAGCCAUGCACAGUGAUACAUGCCUGUAUUCCCAACUACUCCGGAGGCUGAGGCAAGAAGACUUGAAGUUUGAGGUCAGUCUCAGAAACUUAGUGAGAACCUAUCUCAAAAUAAAAGUUACUGUUUUUAUUUUUGUCUAAAGUACUACAUUGGUGAGUAUAUUUUUCUAAUUAAAAAGGAUUGGGAAAUAUAUUUACCUUCUAAUAUUUGUCACAUGUCAAUAUUCAGUGUUGUAAUUAUUUUUUAUGUUUUCGUGGAGCACUUGAGUUACACAUAACAGUGUUCAUUUCCCUUAUCAUACAUGCAUGGAAUAUCAUUUGUUUCACUUCAAUCCCCACCACUUACUUUUUCCCUCUCCUUUUCCCUCCCUUCCUCCCCCUGCUCCCUUCCUCAAUAAAGGGUUGGAUACAGCUCAGGGAUGGAACUCUUACCUGCAUAUGUGAUGCCCUCAGAGCCAUCACUAGUACAACGAAGAAAAAAUUAGCAAAUAUUUAUCAAAGGCCCAUCAAUACAAAUGGUCCAUGCCCUCGAUCUGGAAAAUCCUACAGAUAGAUAAGGGAAAUAGCCUGUAUUUGCCUUGUACCUCAUAUCAUGCAUUUUUAUUCCUUUGUAAUAAGAUUAAUAAAAGAACCAAUAUAUAAGAAUAUAAGAAUAUAAAGAUAGGUUAUGUAAAAAAAAUGCCGUAUCAGUAAAACCUGGUGAGGCAAUGUAUACUGUUAACGUACACUAAAACAAUCUAAAAAAAUAAAAGACACAUAAUAAACAUCUAUUUAGAAAAUUCAGCAUAGACAUUAUUCAACAAUGUUUAUAGCUAGUUCACUCAAAAGUUCAGACAUACAUUUUCUGGAAGAGGAAAGGUAGAAUAAUGAAUAUCUAAAUAAGGAACAAAUAGUAGGAAAAAGCAGAGUGCAGUAGUGAACACAUACAAACAGCUAUCAUCUCAUGUGCUCUCUCCACCUCAGACUGGACAUGGCCUGCGGACAGGAAGACGAUGCAUUGUGAGGAGGAGUUAUACACCAAUCUGAGGUGUGGUAGGAAUUCUUGCUUGAUAUGGAGUAGUAUGCAUAAAAUUAUUGACAGAAUUAUUAAAAGAUGUAAAGCAAAAUGAAAAAUGUAAAGUUGGGUAAUUAAAGAAAUAACAGAAAGUUGAAGAUUGAUUGUGUAUCUGUGAGAAUUUUGACUAGCACUGAGGUGUCAAAUUACAAAGGUUCCAAUGCAGAAUAAAGAAAACAAGACACAUCAGACUUGAUGAAUAAUGACAUUUAUAAUUAGCAAAUUAAUGAAAUAAUGAAUUUAAAUUACAUUAGCAAUGGGUGGAAGUAAAAAGAACAUAUCCUGUUGGAUUAUGAUGCAGAGGUAUAUGAGUGGGGAAAGAGACAAGCAUUUGGAUCUGAGAUUCUGCACUAAAAGAAAAGCAAGAAGAUUAUAUAACACUCUGAAUAUGACAGAAAAAAUGCGGGGAGAAACUUCAUUUUUUGCCCCAUUUCCUGCCCUCUGCUCCUCAGAUUUGACUUGGCCUGUGGACAGGAGGAUGGCUACAUGGUCUGCUGCCCUUAGGACCUUCCUGAGAGGAGCUGCCCAUCAGUAAUGGAUGUGUGCUGUGGACAGGAGGAUGGUUCCAUGGACUGAUGCCCUAAGGAUCGUACUGAGGUGGAGCAGAAGGCCCAUAUUGGACAAGGCUGAUGGACACCAAGAUGGCUCCAUGCUGAGGUGUGAUGAGCCCAUGGCGGGCGGGGGCUGCAGAGAGGUGUGAGUCACGGGCAGCGGUCCCCUCUCGGUGGGGUGGCAUUCUGCGGGCUUCUCCUCAUUCGAGUUGUGAUUUACUCAGUGAAGGAAUGAGAGAGUAGCCCCUUGGGGGAAAAGUGAGGACCCAUAGUGUAUUGAUGAUGACUGCUGGAGGUGUCUGAGGGAGGAAGUGGCUAACCUCUGGAUCUGAGGUCCUUCCCUGAGUGCAAUGCACGAGGAUUGCAGAACAGUCUCAGGGUGAGAGAUGCCAAGGGGGGCGUAUCUCUGUUAGUUGCCACCUUCUCUGCCCUCUCCUCCGCAGAUUAGAAUUUGCCUGUGGACAGGAGGAUGGCUCCAUGGUCUGGUGCUCCUUGGACCCUCCUGAGAGGAGCUGCCCAUCAGUAAUGGAUGCGUCCUGUGGACAGGAGGAUGGCUGCAUGGACUGGUGCCCUAAGGAUCGUACUGAGGUGGAGCAGCAGCGCCAUGUAUUGGACAAGUCCGAUGGACAGGAAGAUGGCUCCAUGCUGAGGUGUGAUGAGCCCAUGGCGGGCAGGGGCUGCAGAGAGGUGUGAGUCGCGGGCAGCGGUCCCCUCUUGGUGGGGUGGCAUUCUGUGGGCUUCUCCUCAUUCGAGUUGUGAUUUACUCAGUGAAGGAAUGAGAGAGUAACCCCUUGGGGGAAAAGUGAGGACGGAAGUGACUUGCCUCUGGAUCUGAGGUCCUUCCCUGAGUGCAAUGCACAAGGAUUGCAGAACAGUCUCAGGGUGACAGAUGUCAAAGGGGAGCGUAUACCGUUAGUUGCUACCUUCUCUGCCCUCUGCUCCUCAGAUUGGACGUGGCCUGUGGACAGGAGGAUGACUCCGUGGUCUGCUGCCCUUAGGACCCUCCUGAGAGGAGCUGCCCAUAAGUAAUGGAUGUGUGCUGUGGACAGGAGGAUGGCUCCUUGGACUAGUGCCCUAAGGAUCAUGCUGAGGUGGAGCAGCAGCGCCAUGUAUUGGACCUGGCCUGUGGACAGGAGGAUGACUCCGUGGUCUGCUGCCCUUAGGACCCUCCUGAGAGGAGCUGCCCAUAAGUGUGAGUCCUGGUGAAUGAUCGUGAGUGGGACGGUUUGGCUAGCAUGGGGACUGUACCAGUCAAGUAUAAAUUAAUGAAUCUGAGAGUAGCCAUUGUGGGAAAGGUGGAGGAAAGCUGUUGGAUUGAUGAUGACAUCCGGAUCUGUAUGAGUGAGGACUGUGAAUACCUGUGGCACCUGAGAUCCUUCGGUAUCUCCCACCAAGGGCGAUUGAUGGAGAGUCUCAGAGUGCCAGAGUCACAGUAGGGUACGUGUCCAUUAGUGGUGUUCUCCUGUGCCCUGUGUUUCUCAGAAUGAAUGCGUCCUGUGGACAGGAGGAUGGCUCCAUAUUCUGGUGGCCGUAGGACUUUGCUUAGGCGGAGCAGCAGCCCUGUGUGAGUCCUUCUCCAUGUUCCUUAUUGGGACAGGGUGGGAUAUGUAGAACUUGUAUUCCCUCUGUCAACGCAUUGCUUAAUGAAUUAGAAAGUUGCAGUGUUUAGACAAAGUGAGAACUUGUUUGGCUCGAUGAUGACUGCUGGAGGUGUCUGAGUGAGGACGGUGACUAACCUCUGGAUCUGAGGUCCUUCCGUCACUCCAGUCGGUGGUGAUGGCACAAAAGGGUCUUUGUGAGAGGAGAAAAGUGGGGCCCACCUUCAUUUUUGCCCUCUUCUUUGCCCGCAUGUUCUCAGGUUGGACGAGGCUGAUGGAUACCAAGAUGGCUCCAUGCUGAGGUGUGAUGAGCCCAUGGCGGGCGGGGGCUGAAGAGAGGUGUGAGUCGCAGGCAUCGGUCCCCUCUUGGUGGGGUGGCAUUCUGUGGGCUUCUCCUCAUUCGAGUUGUGAUUUACUCAGUGAAGGAAUGAGAGAGUAGCCCCUUGGGGGAAAAGUAAGGACCCAUAGUGUAUUGAUGAUGACUGCUGGAGGUGUCUGAGUGAGGAAGUGACUUGCCUCUGGAUCUGAGGUCCUUCCCUGAGUGCAAUGCACGAGGAUUGCAGAACAGUCUCAGGGUGACAGAUGUCAAGGGGGAGCAUAUACCGUUUGUUGCUACCUUCUCUGCCCUCUGCUCCUCAGAUCGGACGUGGCCUGUGGACAGGAGUAUGGCUUUGUGGUCUGCUGCACUUCAGACACUCCAGAGAGGAGCAGCCCAUCAGUAAUGGAUGCGUCCUGUGGACAGGAGGAUGGCUCCAUGGACAGAUGCCCUAAGGAUCAUGCUGAGGUGGAGCAGCAGCGCCAUGUAUUGGACGAGGCCGAUGGACACCAAGAUGGCUCCAUGCUGAGGUGUGAUGAGCCCAUGGCGGGCGGGGGCUGAUGAGAAGUAUUGGACUUUGCCUGUGGACAGGAGGAUGGCUACAUGGUCUGCUGCCCUUAGGACCUUCCUGAGAGGAGCUGCCCAUCAGUAAUGGAUGCGUCCUGUGGACAGGAGGAUGGCUCCAUAUUCUGGUAGCCGUAGGACUUUGCUUAGGCGGAGCAGCAGCCCUGUAUUGGACGAGGCCGAUGGACAGGAAGAUGGCUCCAUGCUGAGGUGUGAUGAGCCCAUGGCGGGCAGGGGCUGCAGAGAGGUGUGAGUCGCAGGCAGCGGUCCCCACUUGGUGGGGUGGCAUUCUGAGGGCUUCUCCUCAUUCGAGUUGUGAUUUACUCAGUGAAGGAAUGAGAGAGUAGCCCCUUGGGGGAAAAGUGAGGACCCAUAGUGUAUUGAUGAUGACUGUUGGAGGUUUCUGAGGGAGGAAGUGACUAACCUCUGGAUCUGAGGUCCUUCCCUGAGUGCAAUGCACAAGGAUUGCAGAACAGUCUCAGGGUGACAGAUGUCAAGGGAGUGGCUUAUCUCCAUUAGUUGUCACCUUCUCUGCCCUCUGCUCCUCAGAUUGGACUUUGCCUGUGGACAGGAGGAUGGCUCUGUGGUCUGCUGCCCUUAGGACCCUCCUGAGAGGAGCUGCCCAUCAGUGUGAGUCCUGGUGAAUGAUUGUGAGUGGGACGGUUUGGCUAGCAUGGGGACUGUACCAGUCAAGUAUAAAUUAAUGAAUCUGAGAGUAGCCAUUGUGGGAAAGGUGGAGGAAAGCUGUUGGAUCGAUGAUGACAUCCGGAUCUGUAUGAGUGAGGACUGGGAAUACCUGCGGCAUCUGAGAUCCUUUGGUAUCUCCCUCCAAGGGCAAUUGCAUCAACGUCUCCGUGUUCCUUGGGAAUGUGGACUCAUGUUCAUUUGUUGCUAUCUUCUCUGCCCUCUUCUUCAUAGAAUGGAGUUUACCUCUGGAUCUGAGUUCUCCUACUUAUUCAAAUUCUGCUGUUAUUAAUUAUCUUUUUAUAUAUCCGUUCAGAACAGUUAAUUUGUUUGCUUCUAGGGUUCCUGUAUGUUCAUUCUGUUCGUGUAAUUGAAUCAAGAAGAGAAUUAUCAAAUAUAGGUACAUUUAAAUGAAUAAGAUUACAUGUUCUUCCAUUAUGAAAACAUCUGGAGAGGUAUGAAGUACUCAAAGGUCAAAGAGCAAUCACUCCCACAUGCUCUCUUUGGCUUAAGAUGAUCCUGAGAACAUUGUCAAGAUUGUAGUUCUGGCUCAUUAUUCAGUUUGGAAUUAUUCACUUAUUAAGAAUCAGUGAAAUAAAUGUCCUAAAUGACAGAGUGGAUGAGGGUGGUAAUCUGGCCUCCAUGGUGACUGUGUGCCUUUCAUUACCAUCCUUUGCUCUCUGCUGUUAGAAGGGCUCGUUGUAGGACUCCUCCUGGAUCACUGCUGUUGGCCCAAGUUUGGAGCUUGUGGAUCACGUGAAUCCUGACCUUCACUGCAGUCCUCAUGUGAGUGGUCUGUUUAGCAGGACACAUGGGUUGCUAAAUGUAUCUAAUUUCACUUGUUUUAGUCAACUUUUUUUACUUUCUUUUUUUUUUGCUGCUGCAACUGACAUGCCCUACAAGAACAACUUAGAGGUGGAAAAGUUCAUUUGGAGCUCACAGUUUCAGAGGUCUCAGUCCUUAGAUGGCCAAAUCCAUUGCCCUGGGCCAAGGUGUGACAUUAUGGUGGGAGCAGCCAGUGGAGGAGGGAAGCUGCUCAGCUAGUGGAGGGGUCAGGAAGCAGCGUGGGAGUGAAGGGGAUGGACAGGAAGCACAGCCCUUCCAAGUUGUCCCCUCCUUGAUUCCUCUCGUCCAACCAUGACUACCUCCCGUCUCCUGAAAUCAUUCCCUCGUCCUACCACUCAGACUUGAACGAGUUGAUUAGGUUUCAGCUUUUGUAAUCUGAUCAUUUUACCUGUGACCAUUUCUUAAUUAAUCCAGGAGUUUUGGGUAGACAUCCCAAAUCCAAAUCAUAACACCACUCGACUUCAGUCAAGGUUGUGGUAGAGACAGGAAGCAUUCAAUUGUUUAUUAAGAACUUAGGGUAAUCCAUGAAACAGACACAUCAUUGUUACAAUGAUUCCAUAUAUAGAAUCAUGGCUUUUUUUGUAUUUUUUAAUGAACAGAUAUCAAAUUAUUGUCAGUGAAUAAUAAAUCAAUCAACAGACAGUAUAGAAAUGAUGGGGAAAGAAGUACAAAUCCAGAAUUAAUGAUGACUAUUGUUGACAUGAAUUGCAAUUAAUGAAUAGGUGUUUUUGCGACUCUGAGGUCCACUACAGAAGAAAUCUGGUUCAUUCUUUACUUGGGGUUGCAUAUUUUUAUUUUAUAUUUAAAAUUGCAACAAUGUUAGAAAGAAUCAAGAAUUAACGUGAGAAUAAAAAGAGAAAAAUGGUAAAGUUCCAUUGGUAUGAAGUUUUCUAUUGCUAAUGCAUAUUAAUGCUGAAGAUAAUAUUAAAUAUAAAUGAAAAUUUUAAUAUCUGAGUGAUUCUGUAUACUCUAGGAAUAAUAAGUUCUUCAUAUUUUAUUGUUUAUAGGCUUAAAGUAAGCAGUGAGUUAAAGACUGUCAAUAGACAGUGUAGAAAUGAAUUGAGGGCCAGUUGUGGAUUGAUGAUUACCACUAGUGGUUUAUGUAUCUGUAACUUUGAGGUCCAUCUCAAAAGAUAACAAGUCUAUUCUGUCUUUCAAAUGACCCUGUAGGCAGGUGUCAGAAUACAGAAUGUGUUUCUUUGGGGUAUUGUGUUUAUGCCAUUAGUUUCACUUUCUUCAUUGGGGUCAUUUACUUUUAUCAUUGAGAAUCAGUAAAGAUGAAUACAUUUAGGCAUUGUUCAAUUUAUCAAAAUAUGUGGUGAGACAAGAAAUACUCUUGAUUCAUAUUGAAGUCAGUGUAGCCUGACAUACCUGUCACCUGCUUGGUGGAGUGGACAGUGUAAAACGUUGACGAUGUUCAGUUUCUGGGUGGAUCAGAAGUUUAACAUUCUUCUUUUUUUCCUAAUAGAAAAUGAACUUCGUAUACUCCACAUUAUUGCUCAUUAAAUGAGUAACUUGUGAAAGCCGAGCAGCAGGGAUCCACGGGCAGAGGGCCUGAGCUUUGCUGCCAUCUCUUCUGGGGCAUUCCUCAGAAUGGGCACCCUUGGCUGGUGUGAGUUCUCCUCGUUCACGCGCCCCUUGGUUGUGUCUGUGUGAGGAACUUGCAGACUACUGUGUGCAGGAGCCACGUGCUUGUCCCUGCUUAGGUUGUGUGUUCCUAGGUGUAAGGACAAUAUGAACGAGAGUGCACCGCCUUCGUGGUUAACAUGGAACGGGUGUGAACAUCGUGCUGAGGCACAUGUGCCACGGGCAGAGGGUUGCAGUGAUGGCAUUCCUGUUUUGACAAGGAGUCCACACGUGUGGGUUGGUGGUAUCAAUGCUUUUCUUGAAUUUUUGUGAAUCACAGUGUUUAAGACGUACUAGUCUUUUAUGCAGUGGCAACCAACGGAGAGACGCCAAUCCUAGGUGAGUCGCGACUGUGGUGCAGCUCAGCCAGGCCUGGCCGUCCCUGCAGAACACCAAGGCUCACCGCAAAGCAACCGAGCUGCUUCCUCCUUUAGAAUUGAUGCCGCAGACGGGCGCCAGGGUCGCACAAAGAGCUUGGUUCACUCUGUGGACACGCAUUUUUGUUCUAAUGUUACAACUGAGUCAAUGAAAAAUCCAGUAACCCAAUAAAUGCUUUUGAGUCGGGGUCAGCACUGUCCAACUAGAAAAGCAUUUUGUGAGGCAGGAGAACCUUUUUUGUAUUGGAAGCACUGACUCCCAUUAGGGCCUGGACACUGUAAGGCUCUAAUAUCUUUAGUGGAGGGUCAGGGCCCACGUUCCAUGCUGGUGGCCCAGCUGACAAUUGUCCAUGCGAAGGAAGACACAUUAAACGGCAUCCCUGAGUGCCUGAUAGACUGGCUAAGUGGAAUAAUGCAAAGACCAGCGCAGAUGACGUCCCAGUCUUUUUUCCCUCAGCCUUUUUAAAAGACGGAGACGUCAUCUGCACUGUGCUUUGCGCUCCGGAGAACCAUCUGUGCGGUAACUAUGGAGACCUGUGGGAGCAGUUCACAGUCAUAGUUCUUCUCUUGGCGUCAGUGUUUUAAAAAAGUAUAAAAAAAAAUAUGAUCAUGGAAAGGAAACUUUGACCCCGGGAUAAAAAUUGGAGACAGGAAAAACACCAUGCUGAUGAAUGCAGAGAGAAACACUAAGGCUUAUUACCGAAAGAAGUGUUCGUCGCUCCGCGUGGUUAUUACGUAAGAAGAUGUUAGAGAGAGUCAAGGAUCUGAAACUCUUGUGACUCUUAGGUAAUUAUUUUUACUGAGCUGAUGAAUUAGUCAAUAAAAAUACAGAUGAAGAAAGUGGUCACAGAGUCCGAAAUGCCCUUGCGCUGGUGGCAUGGGUGACGUGGGCCACGGGUUAUUGCUAUCUGGCGCUGAGAUCCACACAGUAGAAAUCAGGUCUACCCUGGGCUGGGAAAACCCUGUAGGUCCUGAGGCAUUAGAGACCAUCCGGAUCUCAUGCUGGAAUGGCAGCCGCAUGAAUGUCACAUCAAACACACCAACAACACACCGGGGUCACUCCUGGCAAGGAGUCCAAAACUGUUGAUAAGUCAGUGUCAAGGCCAUUGCUCUGGGUCCACUGCAUGUUUCACCUUUGUUUCGUACCAGGAAAAGUACUCAAGUAAAUACGAGAUGGCUUGAAUCACAGAGGUGGGACCCAGGCCUGGUGGGUAGGUGGGAGUCAGGAUCUCACCUCUGCCGCCCUUGAUCUGGUCAGAGCGGUCCUGGGGCCCACUGGACUGAGGGCUGGGGCUCAGCUCGGCUGCGAGCUCUGCGGUGUCUCAGGUGUGAGCAGUAGUCCCAGUUCCUGGCAUGGCCUGGGCCUGGAAGGGGGUCCAUGCCUCGUGAGCAAGUGGGCAGAGUGACUUAGGCUGCCUUGGCCCAGUGACUGGCAGCUUGGGUCAGGAUGAUGAAUCCUGUUUCAGGAAGUUUAAGCUCAACAUAAAAUAAGCAUGGUCUAUUGUUCUGUUGGAAAUGAUCCUCUACCCAGGGGUUCAAAACAGUCGCCGACCCAGCUCUUGUGAUCUUGUGGCUCAUGGCUGGUGAUGAGAUGAGGAGUGAGUCAGUGGCAUGAAGAGCUCAAGAAGUAGGGAUGACGGAGCAGAGCUGUGCCUGGGCCACCUCUAGCUCGUGGGGUGCAGCCGGCUGCUGUGCCACGCGGCCUCCCAGCAGCUGAGACCCCUGCGUUUGUUGUUGUUGUUGAUCUCUCAGAAAUGUGUGAGCUUUCAGUGUUUACAUUCUGGUUAUCUGUGGUCGCCUGGCUAUUUCAUUACUAAACAGGAAAGCCAUUUCUGUAUGAAAGGCUGAACAUUGCUUCCAUGCUAACAGUCAGUGGUCAGCAUUGGUCAGGAGUUGUUGGGCUCACCACCUCUGUUACCCAGACGCACUGUCCCUUGCACUUGAGUGAUAGGCAGUGUACCUGGAGAGCCAUUAUCCCUGUGGUCCUGCCAGGGUGUGAUGAUCAGUUCAGUUCGCUAGAAGGGAGAACGCAGGGGGGCCUUGGUGGAAGUGCCAUGGGAUAGAUGUGAUGGUUUAACUUGUUCCUGAGAUGAUGCUUCUCUCCAGAAAGAAUUCUGGUUCUUAUAAGAUGGUAAGGAGAAUGUAGACAGGCACGAUAUAGCUUAUUUUCAGAUUUCUGAGAGUUUAAACAUUGUUGUCCUUCUUUAAAAGGAAUGAAAUAGGUGGCCCAACUAUUUUAUCAAUAAAUGGAUAAAUAAAGUAGGAUACAGCAUUAUUCAUGGCCUGAAAUUCCUUUGAAUCUUAGCAUUUAAAUUAAUCCGAUCCUGCACGUGUGAAGUCCAGAGAUUCGAGGGGUUCUGAGGGUGGAGGUGUUGAGCAUGAAGCCUGCUGUAGGCCACUCUCAUUGUGGAUUGAGAUGGUGGAUUCACAUGCAUCUAUUUUAAUGCAAAAUUAAUAACUGAGUAAAUCUGGCCAAAAGGGGGUGCUUUUUCGGCCAAUUAUAAAAGGGAUAUGACCCAAGUUUAAGACUAACACCAACCUGCUUCCCUUGCCUCCAUUAGAAUAUUAGAGUACAGCCGCACUCUAGGGGAGUCCAUUCUCUCUAACUCAUGCUCUCUCUACCCUACAACAGAUCCUCACAGAUGAUGGUCUUGGCUGCCAAAUCCCCAGUCAGCAGAGGGACCUAACAAGGAGUGCUCGGAGUUCUUGCCUUGGGUGGACGGCUUGCUCCUAGAAUGCACACAACUCCAGUCAAUGACCUUUCUGUAAUGAUGACGUCCUUUGUGGUUCAAUGGUGCCUGUACCAUGGCUGAUUAAAUUAUCCUCCAGUCGUGAAGGUCUGUGCCUUUCCCUCUGGGUAAGGAGAAUAUCAUACAAUGUGAGUAAUAAAGUUCUUGGUUCGGGUCAUUAGUUCAUGGUUUCCACUGUGUCAUUAUAAAAGAUAAUUAAAUUUUAGGAGGCCACAUAUCGUCCUAUGAUAAGAAUGGGUUAUAAACCAAAAUUAAUCCAAUUUAGCACAAGAUGAUGUACAAGGCGGAAAACACCCUCAGCUUUUCCAUUAAUUUUCCAAAAUUUUAAAUAUCUUAUUAUUUAAACAUCCCCUUCUUGAUAAGAGCUGGCUGUUUCUCUCUUGGGACGUUGGAGGGUGGUCGUAGUAGGACAACACUGAUGUGUUGUUCACCUUCAGUGCAGUAGGGCAUCAUCUGGCUCAGCGAUGUGAAUGGGAUGCAUCUGAAUAAAAAUUAUGAUUGAACAUUUUUUUGAGCAACUAAUAUCCAUUGCCAAAAAAGAAUUUGGGGAUUGCCUUGGGAAUGAUUCAUGGAAUCUCAUGGAGUUUUUGUUGUUGUUUUGUGGCGUGGGGGCUGGAACCCAGGGCCUCACACAUGCCAGGCAAGUACUCUGCCACUGAGCCACAUCCCCAGCCCGCCGCUUGGAGUUUGUGAGGGUUCAUUGAUAUCAUUUCUAUAUCAUUAGUGAAUAAAUAAAUGGAUCAAUAAGCAAACCUUUUCAUGAGGAAAGAAAAAGAGGCCAAAACAUGAGCCAAUUUUGAGGAUAUACUAUAAAGCAAAGGAUAUUAUUAAUUCAGUUCUGAAAUACCAUGGCCCUUUAAAAGGGGAAAAACAGGUCAACAUGGUGGUUGCCCCUUCUUAUAAGAAGCAUCUAGAUAGAGAUGUUCAGCCAUUGAUGUUCUGCUCUUAGUUGGCUGAAGGUUCCUGGGUUUUUGAUUUAUUGUGAAUAAAAAGGUUAAAAUGAAACAAACAAAUAAUAAAUAAAUGGUUAACUCCAUGAGGGGGAGGUGUGAACCAGUGACAAGGGAAUCCCAUUCCCUUUUGUAUCUGAUUUGUGUGCACACAGGUGGAUACACCUCAGCUGUCUUACUCGUGAUUUAAGAAUCACGUGUGUCACCUAUGUGACAAAGGACAAUAUAGAUGGGGGUAAGUCAUAGGCUUUUAUUUUACUUCAUCUUUUUAUUAUAGUCUAUCACUAUUUAUUCUUUUAAGAGAAUAAGUGACUCCAUGCAGUCACAGAUUGAGAGCAGACCAUGCCUAAGCCCUUGGAGAGUGCGUGUCCUAACCAACAGCGAGAUCAGUUCACUUUGCUAAACAGAGACCCAUGAGAAAUAGGUGUAGAUGACCUAUUUAAUAGGUUCUAGACUUAGCCAAAGAUCUUGUUCUUGGUUGAAUUGGGUUUUAUUGUUCUACUAAAAGUUACAAAUAGCCAAACAAGUCAAAAUGCUAGCAAAUACAGUGUCCACUUGGGUGACUGUGUCAUGAAACAAGGUUUGUUCAGCAGGAGUCAAACUGUUCUACUGUCUUUAAGGAGUCCAUGCAAAGACUUCGGUCAGUCACUUUUCCCUCUUAUUGGCUGUAGAUUCUUUGUUUUGAACUUAUUUCCUAAAAUGGGUAACUGACUAAAUUAAUAACCAGGAAAAUUCAUGUAUGCAGAAAAUUGAAAUGACCAGGAUUAUUCCAAUGAUAAAAUAUUUUAUGAAAAAAAAACGUUAUGAUCAACUCAAUAUUACUUCUCGGAAAUCCAUUUAACCAGAAAGACUUAAUCCAUUAUCUCUGUGUAAUGGAAAUAAGAGGCAUGUGUCAAAAUAUUUGUGUUUUUUUUCUCAUAUUCUGGUGGGUUCACAGAAUUAUCAGUGUCAUUAAUAUUAUUUAUUAAAUCAGUCUAGGAAAAAGUAAAUUAGAAGCAAUCAAAUAGGACUGGUGAUUAAGAUGUGUUUUGGAACAAGAAUUAUAAUUAUUGUGGCUCUGUACCUCCCACAUCCGUGAAAGAAAGGUUCAGUCUUUUACAUCUCUGUUUUAAGAGCAUGUAGUAGAUUGUCCCACUCUGCAUGUACUCCUGAGAUAUUUUGGAUAUUUUCUUGGUAUCUACAUGGGUUAUCUUUGUCUGUCUCAAGCACGUAUUUUAGGGACUCGUUUGUUUGCAGGUGUGGGUAGGAGGCCCUGAUACCCCCUAGAUCCCCACUGGGGCAGCUGGUAUCUGAGAGUGCUGUGACGGGGCCCUCUGCCCUUGCUUUGCUUUCAUGCCUCACCUCCCAUGCUACAGGAGCUUGUUGAGAAAUGGGCAGGUAAAAGAUAAAUGAGGAGGACUUUUGCCUGAUGAGUCCUUGAAAAUCAAUGGAAUCAAUCAAUGAUGCAAUGAAAGUGGGAAGGAUUAUGCAAAUGAGCGCAGCAGCCUCAGUGAGCUGGGGACUAAUGCCAGAAGUGAAUGUCUGCGUGGUGUGUGGGUGAGGGUGCCUGAGCGAGCAAGCCCACGUUAAGUGGGAUGCUGAGGGAAGAGUGCAAGAUGAGCAGGUCCGUGGGUCCAGAUGGAAAACCAGUGCUCAGGAGCGUGGGCAGCCCACAAGGCUGAGCCCCGAGGCUUCACCAGCAGGUGGAUAAACAGAGGUGAGCCAGUAGCGAGGGAGUAGAUGACCCAGCAUGCCCGUGGGCAAAUCAGGCAAGGAGGGGGUGAGGUGGAGCAUCCAUGUGGGUGAAUCCAUCAAUCAGUCAAGGAUGAGUGAGUGAAUGAAAAGCCAGUGGAAGAGAAAAAUAUGGAACAUGUUAGCUGAGUCAAAGAAUGAAAUGAUAAAUCAGCACCUGAAGAGACCAAUGGAUGGAUGGGUGAAGAUAGAGUAGCUAAUGAAUACAAGAGGGGAUCAGAGAGUAGGUGAGUCAGUGUGGAAUCAGGGGCCCAGUCAGCCGCUUUGAGAAUGAAUGAAUGAGUAGUGACCGAGCCAGCUGCCCUUGGAGGAUGGAUGCAUGACCUCACUGCUCCUGCCUCCCCACAGGACUGCAAGGCACAGCCAAGCCCAGCCGCAGCAGGAACGUGGGGCAGGAGCACCCUUCUCCUCUGUCAUGGGUGUCACUUUACAUGUCAUCACUAAACAGAAGUGCCUUGAGGGCCGGGAACUGGGUCAAAUUCUUUCUGUAUCCCCAGAGCCUGCCCAGCCCGGAGCCUGGUAGGCACCCAGUAAAUUACUGCUGAAUGAAUGAGCAAGGAACUAAAAAUACACGUGCUUUUGUGGAACCAGCAUGGCCUGGGUGCUGCUCUUGGGAGAAGCGUGUUGGGUAUCAGAGACUCUGUGGCACCCUCCCCUUCGAGUCUAGAUUCCCCCUGGAGUCCAGCUUCCUGUGCCAGACAGUGCACAGAAUACUGGCAGUUCUGACUGCUCUGGCCGUUGGCCCAUCCUUGGGCAACACUGGCUUGGCAUGGUGGAUUGGAAGCCCUGGGUCUUCCCGAAAGCCGCCCUUGUCUCUGCCAAGACAGGAGAUUGAAAAUAACCCAGUCUUGUUUUUAUGCCUGCUGAGAGUGGGCCCACUCCUGGCCCUUCCAAGCCAACCAGAUUCUUUCUUGUUUCCGAUGGUAGGCUAAACGCAAGGCCCCUCUUGACCUCAGCUUUGUCUGUGGGAGGGGGCAACGGUGCCAACGUGACUGGCUUGUGGUUUUUAACAAGAGCUUCUUAUAAGGGUCCUUGAAUGUCCUAAUAUGUGUCAUGUGCAUAUCAUGGUACCUGGGAGGAAAAGGAUGCCUUGGAAGUGUCACAUGCCACUCUUGUUCUGCACUCCUGUCAUCAUCCUUGGUGAUGUCAGCUGUGCUGAUUUAAAAGCUCCCAGACAGAUAUGACACCUACCUUUUCCUGUUCCAGGAGACGGGAGGGUUCAAAUAGCUCUAGGAAGAAUGUCAGUUGGGGCAGGCCAGGCCAGGCCAGUCCACGCACCGCUAAGGCCACGAAACACGUCCUUCUACCAGGGAGCAGACAGAUGGAGGUGAGCUGCACCACUUUCUCUCUCCUGGGGCUCAUGCCCAAGACCCGCUUCCUUCCUUUGUCCCUUCCAUGUCCAGUACCACCACGUGCCUCACACUGACCAUUCCUCUUCCUCCCCUGCUGGGAGCUCCUGGCCCUGGACUCCACCUGGUCUUACACUUCUCCUCGGGACUUGGUGGUCAGUGCUCGAUGUCCGGUGUGGGAUCAGCCGACUCCUUUGUGAGGGUUUGAUUUGGACUCAAACCAUUGGCCUUCCUGCUUCAGACCAAACCAGGUAGGGUCCCCUUCCUAAUUUUGGACAUCUGAGAUGGACUCUUCCAGUUUGGCUAUUUUCCAUUUGGUGAACUUUAGCCCCCCAUGAGACAAGGUCAGGCAUAUUUGUGGCAGGAGGGUUCUCUCAGGGCUGAGGUUGGGCUGCAACAUCAGCCUUGAGGAUUUGGGGCCGGAUCUGGGAUUCGCUUGGUAAACAUGUGCAGGUAUAGAGAGCCUGAGUUAGGUUCCCACCACUUCCCAGAAUUCCCUGGAUAAAUGAAGCCUGCCAGCCUCCCAGUGUUUGACAACUUUGAGUCAAUUCUAGAUUUCUGCUCCUUCCUGCUCAGCCUUGCUCUGCGCUGACAAAGUCACUCCCUCUGGAACAUUCACAGUGUCUUGCCCUCUCUUAACUCCUGUGUCCCUUUAUGAAGUCCCUCCUCUCUUCCUCAUCCAUCCCUCUCCAUAUCCCUAGUGGAGCCUGUGGACGUUAUUAGUCAUGAGCUACCAAUUCUUCCCAAAGGGCUAUGUGCUUCUUGAGAACAGGAUCUUUCUGCAUCCUUAGAGCCUAAGAGAGGGUCUAGGCAUCAGGCAAUGUUUGAUGAAUUAACCAUUCAUGCAUUCCUUCAUGGAUUCAAAAAAUAUUGGGUCUUUUCUUUGCCAGAGGCUGUGCAAAAAUAGCAAGAAAUAAGACAGAUGCCACCUAUGCCUUUGCAGAGCUCCAAGUCUUGGGUGGGAAUUAGAUUUCAAGUAAAUAUUCAGGGCAAGAUUAUUCAAUUACGCUUGUGAUAAGUGCUGAGAGGCCAGGUUGGUGGGGGCAUGCUUAGUGUGGCCAACUGGGCUGGCUUUGACCUGCACACGUCCCCUCUGCUUCUCUCUACCUAGUUUUGAGGAAGAAUUGAAAGGACAAGAUUAUAGCCUUGGUUGGUGCUUGCUGGGGGCUUUGGUUCCUCGGGGUCAGGUAAGUGGGCUCUUUGCCCACUGUGGAGGAGACAGACGGGAUGGAUUUGGGGGUUCCUGUUGGUCAUUGCCCUGGCAGCUGCAGAACACACACUGCCCUUCACUGGAGCACCCUGCAUAUUAGUGAAGUCUCUGCUGAGUGUUUGGGCUUCUCCGGUCUCUGGUGAGCCUUCAAGUGCUUCUCUUAGAUGCCUUCCUAGGUGACACACUGGGGUAGAAGGGACUAAGAGUUGACAUUUCCUUUUCAUUCUGAGCUUCUCUGAGUAUUGCCAAGAAGGAGCUUGGUUGCUAAUGGCAUUUUAGUGGCCUCCAGCCUCCGGCUGCAUCCUCCCUGGUGUCCCCCAAUUCUGCCUCCUCCACUGUUUAGUGUCCACCAAAGCACCCCUCCACCCCUUGAGCAUCUCCUGUGAGCCCGUGGGCCAUUCUUCUCAUCUGCUCUCUGCCACCUCUGCCACCACUGUGCCAGGUCAAGCUUGUCUUGGGUGGAUGUCAACCUUUGAAUUGGCCUUCCUGCCGCAUUCCAGCAUGGCCUCCUGGAACGCACACCCAAGGGCCCCGAGCUCCCUAGAGCCCUCUCCCAGCUCCCCCAGGCCCCAGGAGAAAGCCCAGCUCCUUGGCCUCAUCCCGAGGCUCUUCAUGGCCAGGGCUCCAGCCUCUCUCCAAUCCACCCUCUGGCCUUGGGGUCCCCGCAGAGCUCCUCUAGCCCCGUCUUGCAGUGCUGGGACCUUUCCUCUCCCUCCCCAAGGUGGGAUAAGUCUACACUCUUACUCAGUCAUGCCCUUGGCUCCCUGGCUGAGGGUGCCCUGAGCCCCGACUGCAGGGCAGAACCUGGUAGUGAGGGGUGGACGGAGGUGAGUGGUGGGGAGAAGGAGAGCGAGUGCACCUAGGAAUGACGCAAAGCCUCCCUGGGGACAAGUGACAUCCCUGGCAGGGGCCUGAGAGCCUAGCAUGGGGGCAGCAGCACCUCCUCAUGGCACGGCCUGUCCCCUCCUUCCACCAGCUCCACUUUGCCUUCCGUCUGUGACUCAUUAAGAGACGUGUAACCGUAAUCCUUGGAAUCGCCCGGGAUGGGGCAUGUUUCCACUCAGUGGCAUGAACAUGGGGAUUUUGUUCCCUUCUUAAGUAAAUCUCGCUCCCAGGGGUCUGGACAGGAUGUGGGCAAUUGGACUAGGGCUGGAAACCUGACAUUUUGCAAAAGGCCUCUUUCAAAAUUUGAAACUCUGUGGACCCCAGCCAGGGCUGAGUCUGGCUUGUGGGGUCCCUGGGGCCUCCUCUUGGAGAAGGGAUGGGGGAGCCAAGGCAAACCCCAGCCGUGACUGGGGAGCAGCCCUUCACGGGGCAGAGUUCCAGCUUCGGUUUUGCUGUCUGAUGGAACUGGAGUGUGCUCAGGCCCUUAUUUGCUCCCCUUUCAGACUUUUGGCCAAAGCCACAAGUCCUCCUCAAGCCAGUGGGGGUUGGAGGAGUGAGUGACAGCAGAUGGGACUUUGUUCCAGGAGAGGAGAGGGUGCUCAGGGCUGCCAUGCCCCCAGGAGCAGCACUGGGUGGUACUGAGCAUGAGACCCUGGUGGCCUUGACAGAGAAUAGGAAGAAAGACACCAUGAGAUGAUGUGAGAUGUGCACCAGGUGGAGCACAGCGUUCUCCCUUUAGGCUUGGUGCUGUCUCUAGGAGGGGACACCAGUUCCUCCUUCUACAGACAAGACACUGAGGCCUGGGGAUGGCAGUGCUGACUCAGUGUGCUCUGCUCCUGCAGGUGUCCUGGCUUUGCAGGGGCCACCUGCUACAGAGCAGCUGAGGCCGGAGCUGAGGGCCACAGAAGAGCCUGGAGGGGUGCACAGGUGAGACGUCCCUGGCCCAGCUUUCAGCAUUUGUGCCCUGAAGACAGGCGGUCCCGCUGACUUUAGUGAGUGGACACUGCCCUGCCUCCUAUUCUCUUUGCUUUCCCAGGGCAGAUAGCGUGCGUCUGGGGACAUGUGGUCAGAAGGCUCAGCUGCAAAGGGAGUCCAUUUCAUUCUUACUCCCAAGGAGAGUGCUGGGCUGAGCUCAGUGCCAGACUACACUGAUCCAAAUGAGAGUGGCUACACCAAAGGACCACUGCCCAGCCCAGGACUGGAGCACAGCCUGGGGUACCUCGAGCCUGGGGGAGUGCCGACCGGACCAGGGAGCAGGCCCUGUGGAUGUCCUCCAGCAUGGAGCCCCUGGAGAUGUGGCCGCGAGCCGCUGGCUUCCCAGAGGAUGACGGCCAUGGGUGUAGUAGCACCUCUGCAGGGUGAGCUGUGCUUUUCCUGACUCUUCUCUGCAUGCUGUGUGCCUGUGGCAAGGGCCAGUCGAGGACAUGCGGAGACUGCAGUGGUCCUAGAUGAGCUUUACGCAGGGCCAGAGUGUGUGUGAAUGCCUCCGAGAGGGGCCACGAUCCAUGCGCCUCUCCCGGAGCCUUAGUGUGCAGAGGCUGGGCCAUUUCUGGCAGCUGCUUCUCCAAGUAGAGGCCGUGGCUGGCCAGAGAAGUCCCUCAUCUCUGGUCCCUCCAAGGGGUGGAGGCUCUGCAUCCUUGCAGUGUCCUUUCAAACAGCUUGAGUUGGGGCUCAAGGUCACCUUCUCACCUGUGCCCGAGUCUCCAAUUAUGCAGACAACUGCACUCUGUUAGCUGAUUACAUCACAGAGAACACAAAACACAGGAGCAUUGAGUUUUUCUCAUCAAAGACCCUAAAGCAAUUAGGGUCACAUACAAUAAUGAUUUUAAAUAAUAUAUAUAUUUUUUCUGAUAUCCAAAAAAAUACGUAUUUCUUGCAAAAGCUUAUAAAAUAUUGAGAAGAGCAGUUGGAAGAAUGAGAAUCUUCUUGGUCCCACUACUCAAAGACAACCACUGCCAACAUUUGGUGACCAGCCUCUGUUUUCUUGUUUACUUCUGAAAAUUAGGAGAGUGUGUGUGUGUGUGUGUGUGUGUGUGUGUGUGUGUGUGAUUGAACUCAUCACUGUUAUCCUGUUUCUUUACCUAACUAUACUACUAAGUGGUUUCCUGUUCUGUGUUCCUUAAUGGUUACAGAGCCUUCUAGCUACUGACUGUAUCACAGUCAGCUUCGUGGGUUUGCUUUUGUUGGUAUUAGGAUGCACUUAAAAUCCAAAUUCUGCAGUUCAAGGUGGGCUUCUGUGUUCACCCUCAUAUCUCUGGUUCAUUCCCCGCAGU